UAUUCCCUCCUUUUCAUAUUAUAAGACGUUUUGAGUUUGUCCUAAGUCAAUUUCUUCAAGUUUGACCAAGUUUAUAGAAAAGCAUAACAUCUACAACACCAAACUAGUUUCAUUAAAUCCACCAUCGAAUAUACUUUUAAGUAUAUUUGUUUUGUGCUGAAAAUGUUGCUGCAUUUUUCUAUAAGCUUGAUUAAACUUGAAGAAGUUUUACUUAGAACAAACCCAAAAUGACUAAUAAUAUGGAACAGAGUGAGCAUUAUGUUUACGGGUGGUAAUGGGCUUGGCCCAUGGGUCCUUUCACAGCCCAAUUUUCUAGGCUAAAAUGUUGGGCCCUUUACCACCCUUAAUUCUGUUAGGUGUCAUACAUCAGGAAUUCAGGAUUACUUGCAAAGUGGCAAGUUCUACCUUGUAUUAAAAUGCAGCUGUCAUGUGUGUGAGCACUGAGCAGCAACCAUGAAACUAUAGCAGCAGCUUUGUUGGUUGUCAUCUAAUCUCCUAUUUGCAAAUCUUAUUUAGCAACCUGGAGGGAUAUGAUAUUAUCUGGUUGAGAAUGUCUAUCUCCAAUUGUUAAUUUGUUAAGACAAGCUCUAAAUACACGGACCUUUCUUAUGUAAUAAAAGAUGGAGCAAAUCUAAGUCCCAACCCCCUUUGUCCGUCCCAUUAUCUAGUCUCUACUCUAUUCCCUUCUUUAGCGAAACCAGCUCCACCUGCUUUGUAUGUAUCCUGGUGUUUACUUCAUCAUGAUCUAAGGAUCCUUACAGUGGAACAGUAAGGAGUCAAGGGUAUACUAACAAAGUGGAAAGUUCUACCUGUCAAUAGUAGCUUCCAAGUUUUAAAUGUGAACAGCUCUGGAACUGUUCUUAGAAUCAGAGAGCAAUUAUAGUGUUUUGAACACUAAGGAAGUAAGGAUUUCUGAUCAGAUACUCAGACCUCAAACAAAAGGGCUUCAAAUUGAGGUUAUGUACGUUACUGAGUUUCUGGAAUGUUAUCCAAGCAAACAGUACUACGAAAAGAAACGGUCAUCGGGUUGAAGAAUUAAGCACCUUAUUUCUUGUUUGCAGAGCAAAUUGAUAAUUUGGGGAUUCUCUGAAUCGCUGGGAUUAAGGAAGCUGAAGUUGGAGCACAACCAUUCAAACAUUAGCAUUAAUGGCACACUAAAUAAUCAAAAUAAAAAAAAUGAUCUUCAAAUAGAAUUCAAAUGAAUGCAUACUCAUUAAACUCGGUUUUAUUAAGGAAACCAUGGCCAUCUGCAUCCGAAGCAUUGAAAUGCUCCUCUUUCCACCAUGGGAACCCCAGCGAAUUAACCUCUCCUGCAAAUCAUUAAUUAAAACACUUACUCCAAAUUGUCUCAUGGAUUCGCUUCCAGCCUUAUUGAACUCGUUUUGAACUCCUGGACAGAUAAAAAAACCAAAACAAAAAUUGCCACAUUACCACUCGAUUCGUUGUGCUGAGCCCGGAAGUCCCCGUAGGAGACAACCCCGUCGCCAUUCUUGUCGUAGAGCUCCAUCUCCCGAGCGGAGCGGUGGAGCUGGUCGGCUCUGGACUGCUCGAGGUUCCACCUGGUGAGCUCGUCGAGGGAGGCGAAGCCGUCGCGCGGGGCGAGGUCGAUCUUGGGGAAGAGCGCGCGGAUGCGGUCGCCGAGGUUGAACCGCUCGUCGUCGUUGAUGAAGUCCUCGUCCUCCCUGAGGAACUCCUCCCAUUCCCUCAUGUGCUCGUCCGCCUCCCCUCCGCCGCCGUCGCCGUGCAGGAUGCGGUAGUGCUCGCGCUCCCACUCCUUGUCCUCCAGCCGCCGCUCCAGCUCCGCGAUCUCCGGGUCGAAGGGCGCCGCGUGGUGGUGGUUCUGCUGCUUCUGCGGAGCCCCGUUUCCUCCGGUGGGUGCCCCCGCGCCGGCCCCGGAGAGGGAGGGGUUCCUGGGGUGGAGCUUGAGGCGGCGGUGGAGGCUGCGGCCCCGGUGCGGGAUGCUGGGUGAGUAGGAGGUGAGGAGGAGCAGGAUGACGAGCGCGAAGGUGACGUAGAGGAGGAGGGCGGAGAAUGGGGACCUCCGCCCCGCCGUGGCCGACGGCGGCGGCGGCAUCGCCGGCGAGAUGGGGGUGGAGAUCGGAAGUGGGGUCGGGGGCUGAGAGAUGUGGGGUUGCGGGUUGUGUGGGUCGGCGAUUUUGGACUAGUGCGACUGUGCGAGGGCAAGGAGUGACGUGGUGACGUGGAAGGCGAUGCGUUGGCCAAUGGCUGCUCUACACGUCAAUCAAACCGCAUUGAGUUGCCAAGUUGCGAAGCAUUACUAGACUUUUGAAACCAAAUCAUUGUAAAAUAAUACUAGUAAUUUGAAAUUUUUUGUAAUAUAGAAUAGGUGUGCUGAAUCCAAUUCUUAGAUGGAGUAAGGUACAAAUAGGAGUAGAUUUAAUACGAUACCGAACAUAAUUAUAUAUACCAAGGAGCAACGUUAUACGUACAGUCUUAUGUUUACUAUACUUGUACGAUCAAAAGAUUCUCUCCUAGCGUUACUGACAGUGUUACGUUUUGGUUCCACAUGAAAAUUGGUUUCACUUCCACAGGGAUGGUGUGGUGUUUGAUCGUAUUGAAAUCGUACAGCAACAUCGUACGCAUAGCAUUUUUCUAUACCAAGUGGUACAUGUGUGACACCAGGGUGGUACUACAUAUACCAAUAUGAUACAUAUGUGGUAUCAUGCCAAUCCAUGCACGAAACUUUGUUGUAAAUGAGGACAUGCUCGUAUAUGGACAACAUCUCCGAUAAAACGGGCCAGAACGCCUCGUGCUUCAGGGUCUCUAGGCUGCAGUACCACGUGAGACCACAGUUCUUUAGAUUUAGCUCUGUGGCGGCGGAUUGGGAGGUAAGGAUCUACAGGGCUAGGCCUCCUGGACGAGCUCCUUCGCAGUUGAGCCAACAAGCUCAUGUAUUGCAGCAGAAGUUGGUGGUCGGAACGAGGGGAAUAAAAGGCUCCUACGUGCACUGUGGGUGGGGACGUGGUUGUGGACGGCAAGCGGCAUGCCGGAGGGAGCAUAAAGCGAGUGUAGGAGAUAUUGCGCGCAGAGAUGGGGGACAUGAUCCUAUCCCUAAGAUUCAUGUAUAGAUAAUGACUCUAUGCUCCACUGUGCAAAAUAUGGAAGAAUAAAUCUAAUAUGCAUAUGUGUUGCCCCGUUAAUGCCGUUGUCGAGCAUGGUCUGGUGUUGAGGAACAAGUGGCAUCUACGACUAUGGUGUAGGUGCGCACCAGGCUUCGUUGGCCUGGAAUCUACGGCUGAGCCAUGAGAAGGGGAACAAGCUCCUCGCUGGCCGUACAAUAUCGUGUGUCAUGGAUGUCUCCACUAUAUGCAUCCAUUACAGCCACAGCACACUAAAUAUGGAGAUCCGUCAUAGCUUUUCUGACGCCAAUGCAUGUGCCCUAUCUCCUGAGUCUGUUUCUCAAUCGUGCGUCACAGUUCUCUCGUGUCUUCAUCUAUACUACCGACGUCUAAAAGAUAAUAGUGAUGGUGCUGGUGGUUAGCAAGACCAUUGUGUAGGUAUAAAUUGUAAGUGUUUGGUCAGCCUUUGUAUAUAUUUUGUAUAUACUAUGCAGUCUUUACUUUUACUCUGACAAUUCUUUAAUUUUCUAUUGAUUUGCCUCUUGUUAUCUUGAUUAAAAAAUCAAAAAAAUUUAUGUUUUUAUUUUAAUUUAAAACGAGAUAGCUAGACAACGCAAUUUAUUGACAAGUACAUAUUUUAUAAUUACAAGCAAAUACACUUGUGUAUUACAACACGUGAAGAAAAUUUUCACGAUUAAUAAAAACUCUGUCAAUUUAAACAACAAACCAAAACAAGACAAACAAAACAAUAGCAAACAAAGUCAAAAAUCAUAUAUAACAUUGAACCCGGUUAUACUCGAUGCAUGCAUCAUCACAUGAAGAAUCCCUUAUGUACAUCUUUCCAAAGCUUCACAAAUCGAUCGGGUGGCUAUUUCAUAAGUUGGUGCAUGUGCAUUUAUAUAUAUAUAUAUAUAUACAUAUAUAUAUAUAUAUAUAUAUAUAUAUAUAUAUAUAUAUAUAUAUACCUCAUGGACCAAAAAUUGAAAUUUGAUUAUUCAAUUUGUAAAAUGUUUUUUUACUAUAGAUGGAAAGCAUUUGCGAAGUAACAAACUUGCCGCAUAAAAAUAUUUAUGAGGAGAGAAAAAGGAGGAGAAAAGAUAGGAGAUUGGAAGGAAAUGGAGAGGAUCAGGAUUACCGUGAGUAAAGAAAGGGAGAAAAAGAAAACAAAAAAAGGGAAGACGACAAAAAAAAGAUGUCGAUCGUGGGAGGGGCGCGCACGGUGCCCAGUGGAGGCGUGCGGGAUGGUGUGGGACGGUUAGUUUGGGCUGGCGGAGGGGGAGGGGUUAGGUUGGGAUAGGAGUAUAUAAUAGUUAUUCUAGAAUCAGGUUGAAUUUGAUAAUGACGACGUAUAAUCAACUCAAAUAUGGAUGACGUACUAAAAUUCUGGUGGAAACAUCUUCAAUUUUUUUAAUAGUAGAGAUAGAGAUAUCAAAAGACAUCUCUUAUUAGCAUGAUGGGAGUCAUUGAUCUAUAUGGAAACUAAUACUAUCUUUUUUUAAGAUGAAGAAGCUAAUAUUUUUUUCAACAACAACAUACUCCCUCCGUUUCACAAUGUAAGUCACUCUAACAUUUCUCACAUUCAUAUUGAUGUUAAUGAAUCUAGACAGUCUAGAUUCAUUAACAUCAAUAUGAUUGUGGGAAAUGCUAGAAUAACUUACAUUGCUAGAAUGGCUUACAUUGUGAAACGGAGGAAGUAAUUGUUUUUGCUGUUUUGAAUAACCCGUAGCAACGCGCAGGUAUUUGGCUAGUUAUGAGAUAAGGAAAGGAUGAGAACUUGAGAAGGGGUUAGGAGAAAGAACAUAGUGGAUUAGAGGUAUUCUAACCAUCUAGAUUGUCACAUGAUGGAACUGCUGCCAUAUGAGUACCACAUAGGAUCAAUAUUGUCUUAAGAUAGGUUCAAGGUAUAUUUUGUAUGGAAUUGCUAAAUCACAUUCAACAUAAUUUUUUAGGGGAUUUCUCGCAGAUUUGUGACCUUAUGAUCUGCUUCAUGAUUUGUGUUUCAACUCCAGCUCCUAUAGCUUUGGGAACCCCUUCUCUACUUCUUACGACCCAACAAAUGAUAGUAGAGUUAGGGUUUAGGGUUUCGAGUUGGGGUAGGAGAAGUUGGGGGGGGGGGAGGAACAUAGAUGAGAUCACUAGGUUUAGAGGGAUGGUCGUGGGAAGUGGUAGUGCGGUGGAUGGUGGACACAUGUGGGUUGCGAGACGUUGGCAGCGGUGUUAGAGUUGUGAGGAUGGAGGAGAAAAGAUGGGUGUUAGAGUUGUGAGGAUGGAGGAGAAAAGGUGGGCUCUUGUUGUUGACAAGGCAAAGCGGAGUUGUGGUUAGAAGGCGGUAGGUGGUAGUAGUGGUGUAUUUAGCGAUGAGGAACCACCGGAGACAGGUAAGAUUGGAGGGCUGGGACUCUUGCCACCCUCGGCUUGAGGAGAGGGGGAGAAGAAGGACAGGGAAGGAGAGAAUACCGCCUGACUGGGUUCUUGCUGGUGCCUUUCAGCUAGCCGGAGAGACCAGACGGCACAGUAGUGGGGAGUAGGCGGGUGCAUUCUAAUGCAAAUGUGAAGGCAGUGGGGAGAAAGAGGGGGAGGAGAAGAGGGAUAUUAGGUUGGAGUGCUGCACGGGUAUCAAAGCAGUCCAAUAGUCUAUAGUUUGUGAAAUUUGUGAGGGUAUUUUCUAUCGACAGCCAUAUACUAGGUAUAGUUUCUAUUUGGUACGGAAUGUUCAUUGAGGUGUUUUAUAUAUAUUUGGUAUUUAUAAGUUGUGAUUUAUAAGGGGAUUCUGCUAUCCGGGCGACCAGGCGGGGGGAGCAAAAUUGGGCGCUCCCCCCGGCCCCGCUCCCAGCGCGCGGCCGUGCGCCUGCAUGCCGCUGGCCCACCACAGUGUCUGGCCCACCACAGUUGUCGGGUCCCAAAACUAAUGAUUUGGAAACCGACAUAUUAAAACUGUAUCAAGCCUUGGAUCAGUAGAUUGAUACAGGUUUAACAAUUUGGAUCCUCAUUGCAUACAUUUAAACAUGACUCCGAAGGAUAUGUUAUUACAAAAUAUUUAUGGGUGUUUACAAAUUUGUGGCUAAUUAAUACAACAGAAGCUAUAGAAUGACUCAACUCUACUAUUUUGCUAUAGACUUAAACCAUUUAUCUAGUCUAUACUUGAGGAUUAAGUUAGAAUGGAACUAACUUAUAUGAUUGAACUCCCAGCUUCGGUAAGAACAUCAAUUGGACUCUGAAAAAGGGGGUUGAAGCAAGGGUGAGUACAACGUACUCAGCAAGCUAUUAUAUUCAAUAAUGAAUGCAUGAAAUGGUAAUAUCUGAGUAGAUCUAGGUUUACUUGCAGAAAUCAAAGAAUAUAGAGGAAUAAAGCCUAGAAUGUUUUAAAUGCAACAAUAUUUAAUAAAGUUUGGAAUUAAGUUUCUAACCAAAUACCAUAUGAGUCCCAAUGCUCAAAUCCGUGAGCACGGCUAUUCGAAUAGAUUCAUUUAUACUUUACUGCAGUAAAUGUACGCUUUACCCGCAAUCCAUGACGUGCCAAACACAUUAGCCUUGUCAUGGCAAAGCUUUUCGGUUACUAACAUCAGUGGUACCUGUUCCAUGAACUCUAGUCCCCAUGCGCUCUGAACGUAGCGUUAUCAGCAGCGAGAGGAAUUCUGGCGUUCCCGAGGUUUUUGAAGAGAACUGGUUGAGAGACCCCCGUCAUCUCAACCAGGUUUUCACAAUACACACACAGUUUGUGAUAUCACAAUUUAUCUCAAAUAUUUACCUGCGCCUCGGUAAAUAUUGCAAUCGCCCUGCUCAGCGUAAGUUUGCUUCCUGCGCGAGGACUUAAGAAGAACCACUAUACAAAGGUACCACAUUUGCUAGAUAACUUAAUCAGCUAGGUCUAUGCCCAUACGAGAAUUGCGGUCGUACUCGUAUGUUCUUCACAUGUACUUGGCAAUUUUAUGUCGGUUGGAACAGUACUAGCCACCCGGAAAUCAACCAUUUCUACAGUACUGUUCCAAUCUAAGUUUAUUAUAUUUUAUGCAAUCUAACUAGGCAUGGCUAAGCAAAAUCUAGCAUAUAUCUGGUUUGCUAUAUAUUCAGGUUAUGCAUUCAAAAUCAUGUAUGGCUAAUGCACAAGAUACUGGAGAUAUAGAAUAUAGGAUUAUUAUGCUCAAAGGAGAGGAAUAAUAACUUGCCUUGCUCCAACGCAAAUAAAUCCGAGAUAGGCAACCUGAUUAUCCGAUCCUUGAAAUACCACAGGUUGCCAUCCAAAAUAUAACAGACUCUACGUAGAAGAGAAAGAACCAAAUUCAAUAAAAGUCACAAAAUAAUAAGAAAGCGAUAAAGGGCGAGAAAGGCUGGGUUUGGGGUAUAAAUAUCUCCUUUAAAAGGUAUAGGGAUUAUUGGCUAAUAUUUCUGGGUUCUAAAGGGUUGGAGGCUAAGAUAGAAAGGGGAUCAAGCAACAAAUGUCACUUAUAUUUCAUGUGUGGGUCUUGGUUGUUCGGAGAGUAAGAGAUAUGACUGGUUAAGCGAGUAUGUAGCUAAUAUUGGUUGGUGGCAGGUUUAGGUAGUAUAAUAUCUAGGGUUUGGUUAUAUUUAGGCCGAUUGGGGAUAGGACAGCAUAUUGGCUAGGCUCUAUAUUUUAUGUAUAGGUUCUAGGUAGUUAGAGAGUAGGUGACUGAGAGUAGGGUGGAUAGGCGAUACUGGUGGGUGUGGAAUUUGGAUGACAACUGGGAUUUAACUAGCAAGGUGUCAGCUAGGGUUUGGUUGUGUGCUAGUCGAUGCUAGUGUUGAACAGCAUAACGACUAGAUUUGGUGUCUUCUCUCGCCGGUGUCAGCAGACAGCAUAUCGGCUAGAGGAAUAAGAUGUGGGUGCAGGUUAAUUUAGUGGGGCGGAAGUGUUACUCCGACAACCGUGAGUGGCGGCUGAGCAGCUAAGAUCACACAGAGCCCGAGAGCUAAUUGUGCGACGUGCUGUGGAGGUCGAGGGAAUAGUGAAGCUCCGACAGUUGUACGCAUUGAGGCGUGGGGUACCCGGAGCAGCACUUUGACCUUGGGUUUGGGUUUUGCCGGGCUUUACGACCAACGGUUCGACAUCGGGGCCGAUAGACCGCAAACGUCUCCAUGAAAGGCGUAAAGUUCCAACCGGCGGCUUUUUACUGGCUAAAGGGUAUUUUGGAGUAAAAGGAGAUAUUUGAAAAGCAUAUGACAUUUAAAUAAAUCAAGGAAAUUCAAAUAAAAUAUUUAAAUAGCAAAUUUGGUAUCAAAAGGUAGGGUUUGAAUUUAGAUGAAUUUAGGUCCAAGUUUGACUAGAAUCAGAUCUACGGUUUAGGAGAUAUGGGCUUCUAAAGAAUAGGAUUCAAGUUAAAUCUAGAAAAUAUAAAGUAGUACUGUACAGGGGCCCACCUGUCAGACUUUUUCUUUUUCUCUCUUUUUCUUCUUCUUCUUCUUUCCUGCUUCUUCUCUCUUUCUCCACGAACAAACAGAGAGAAGGGAGAGGAGGGGCGCCGGCUCUCCGGUGGAUAGAAGACUGUGACGCCGGCGGCAACACGCGUUCCCGAGCAACGCGCACUCAGGGAGGGUGGUUUCCGGUAGAGAGGGUUAGGGAGGAGACCGGAACGGCGAAGGCAAGAGCUUGCUCCGGCAACAAGAGGAGGUGGCUGUGAUGGUUGGUUUCGGAAGGGGAAAGGAAGGGGAAACUAGGAAAAUGAGUUCGCCUCGUCGAGGCAAACCCGAUGGCGCAAGGGCUUGGCCAGAAACACUCCGGUGAGGGAGAUCGGCAGUGGCCGGUGGUGGCUAGACAUAACAGGAGAGAGAGAGCUCGAGGAGCUCGGCUCAUAUGUGGAGAAAAGGGGAGGGCUGGCCUUCUAUUUAUAGGCCUCAGACGUCGGUUGUGAAGGUCGGUUGUAGAGGAGAAGAUGGAGUUGGUCUUGGUGGCGGCGACGUGGAGAAGGAAGGCGACGGCGCCGGCUGUGGCUUGUGAUUGGUUGGAGAUGUCGGUUUGCUCCAGAGGCUGACGUCGGCGGCGUGAGGUGGCAGAUGACGUCGGCGGCGAUGCCUUAGCGGCGACGACAGGACGUUGGCGGCGAUUGCUUGGCGUCGAAGGCAAUAUGGCGGCGGCGGUAGCUGAGUUGUGCACGGCGGCAGUAGCGGGCGCAUGGCGGCGCCUGGAAGCGCCCACGGAGGAGGAAGGGGCGGCUCGGCUGGGCUGGGCCGAAGAGGAAGAUGGGCCAAAAGGAAGAGAUAAAGGGAUUUUAGCCCAAUUAAAUUUAGAAAUCAAUUCUAAAUUUUGUAGGUUAUUUGUAUGAUAGAAAUUGGAUGAGAUUAGUAUUUGGAAGGAAUCUGAAUAGGGAAUUUUGAAAGGAAAUUAUAUUUGGAUAUAAUUUCCAAAAGAGAUAUUUUCUAGUUUGAGUGCAAUAUUUUGAGAGAUAGAAUAUAACGGAAUUUAUUUGAUGCACUCAAAUGAGAGGGAGAGGAAAUAAAUGGAGGAAGAUAGAUAGGAUUUUUAGCCUCAAAAUAUAUGGCAUGGGUUUCAAAGAAUUGUCUGAGGCUAAUAGGAUAUUUGGAUAGAAUUUGAAUUUAAAGAAGAUUUGGAUGACAAGGAUAUAAUAUAUUAUCUUAGCACAAGAGCAAUUAUUCACAAUGUUUGUAAUAAUAUUAUUCUUGUGCCGAGAAGGAAAUCAAGCCACAGAAAUUAGAUCACCGGCUAGAUCAAAAGGAAGAAUUUGGAUCAAGAAUCAAAGGAUAUGUUUAAGGUCAAAGGAUGGGCUAACAAAUAAUCCCGAUAAAAUUAGAAUUACUUUGGUUUAGGUUCAAUGGCAAAAUUGGGAAGGUUUCUUGGAUCAUAAUCCAUAAAAAAUAGUAAGGGUUUUGAAACUAAAUUUGAAUAAAAGAAUUUUAGUCGAAGGAAGGUUUUAAAUUAAAACCAAAUCAAGAAAUACCUCAAUUUAACCAAAUAUAUUUUUAAAUGAAAAACACAAAAGAAAUUGAAUACCAGAGAAGGAUUUUAUGCAAGUUAGUUUUAGAAGGUCCCUCUAAUUAUAUUUUCCUAGGUUUAAGAAGUUAUUAAGAACAUAAGACUCAGCAUGGUGCAGAGUUAGAAAAUGGUUAAUUUUCGGUAUGUUACAACAGUGCCGGUCCCCUGCAACAAAUCAACCACAUAUUUUGGAAACUCUCUAUUAAGUAAAUUUGGUUUAUUUUUGUUCCACAAAAAAUGUUUCACCUAGUGCACUCACAAUGUUUCACUAUGUAUAGAUUUAAUGUUGCAGUGAACUGAAAUAUUCCAUUGCAACAAAAAAACCAACAUAUUUUGGAAACCCUCUAUUAAGGGAAUUCGUUUUAUUUUUUGUUCCACCGAAAAAUGUUUCACUAUGUGUGGAUCAAAUGUUGCAGUGAACUGAAACAUUCUUUCGCUAUUUGCCGAAACAUUGUUUUUAUAUAAGGUGAAACAACACCUGAUUUAAACGAGUGAAAUAUUUUCGAUCUACUUAGUGAAACAAUUCCGAUAUAACUAGUGGAACAUCGUACAACACUAAAAAAUAAUUCAAUAAUAAGCUAAUAUUUUUUUUCAUCGGAAUAUAUCCAUAUAUGGUCUUGUUUUGAAGAUUUAAUUAUAACGAAUUUAAUGGUACAAUCGGAUUAUGAUUUUGAUAAGUAAUUUAAGAGAAAAAUCAGUUUAAAAUAGUUUUGCACGUAAAUCGGACGCUAACGUCAGCGCCCGAUUUUACUCCGAAUUGAUCGGGCGCCCCAGCCUAGGCUGCCCCGAUUUAUAAUUCGGGCAUUCACGAUACUUUAGCCAUAAUAAGAUAAUAAAGAGACUUCAUUCAAGAAUGAGCCUAUACGUAUAGUUGGCCAUGUGGGCCGCCCGGCACGGCACGGCACGGCCCAGGCCCGGCCGUGCCUGGGCCGAGGCUUGUCGGGCCGGCACGGCCCGACCGACGCACCGGGCCGUGCCGUGCCAGCCCACGUGCCGCACUCACGGCCCAGGCACGGCCCAACACGCCUCGGGCCUUGCCGAGCCGGCCCGAAGGCACGAUGGGCCGUCGUGCUUUUCCUCAGAAUAAGUCUAAAUUUCCUCCCUCCUAUUGGGCUGUGACAUAUGUACAGCUACAAAAAGUCUAUUUUACCUCCCUCUUCUUUGGGCUGGGGUAUAUAAAUAGCUAAAAUAAGUCUAUUUAAGGUCCCUAUUCUUUAGACUGUUACAUUUAUAUGUCUAUUUUUAGUCCCUAUACUUUAUGUACCGGGCCUGGCCUGUCGGCCCAUCGUGCCGGGCCAGCCCAGCGUGCCGGUGGGGAGGCCCAGGCACGGCCCGACGGUCGGGCCGGGCCAGCACGGGCCCGACCCAAGUCGGGCCGUGCCGUGCUUGGGCCGGGCCAAAAAGGCGUGCCAUGGGCUGGGCCUUCGGGCCUCGGGCCUUAUGGCCAACUAUACCUAUACGCCAUCUCCAACCUCUGUUUCGUUCAAGAGCCUACGGGCUAAAGGCCCAAAACACUGAACUCUAGCUAGCUAGGGUUCGUCGUUGCGACGGCGUAUCUCGCUCUCCGGCCGUUUGAUCACUAACCAAAAACAUCCCGUGCAAAUCGGAAGGCAUGCAACCAACCCUACGCCGCCGCAGCCGCGUCCUCAUCAAAUAUCCACCGCGACACACGGGGCGAUUGCCAUGGGCGACGAGGAGGCCGGGCCGUCCUCGUCCGGACACUCCUCCCCCACCUCCAACACCAGCACCACGCCCCCACCUCAGCCGCCGCCGCCGCCGCCUCCACCGCCGCACCCGCAGGCGUGCGCCGCGUGCAAACACCAGAGGCGGAGGUGCACGCCGGAGUGCCGGCUGGCGCGCUACUUCCCGGCCAACCAGCCGGCGCGGUUCCGGAACGCGCACCGCCUGUUCGGCAUCAAGAACAUCCUCAGGGUCAUGGCCUCGGCGUCGGAGGAGCUGCGCGACGACGCCAUGAAGUCGGUCGUCUACGAGUCCGACGCGUGGGUGAUCGACCCCCUCGGCGGCGCCGCCGGCAUCGUCAAGGGCCUCAGCCAGGAGCUCGCCCGCUUGAAGGCCGAGCUCGACGCGGUGAAGGGGCUGAUCGAGCUCCAUCGCCGUGCCGCGGCCCAGCAGCAACAGCAGCCGCCCGUCGCCGUCGCCUCCAAUGGGGGCUUCCUCCCCUCGCCGCCGCCACCGCCACAGGGGCAGCAGCAGCUGCUGUUUCUGCCGCCGCCACCGCCGACGAUGAUGCUACAAGAUGGCCACUGCGACGACGAGACGGUUGAAGAUGAUUACCUCGUUGAUCCACCCGCCGUAGAUGCUGCUGCGGCGACGUCGACGGCGCCGGAACGCCAUGGGGACGGACAUGCGCCUCCUGCCAACGUCAAGGAAGAAGGCAACGUCGACCAUACCUCGUCGAUAAGCUUCCGCGAUAGAUGAGAUUGUCACGACCGGUCUCAACUGCUGCAUAUUUGCCCCAUUUGUAUGUGAUUAGCCUUCUAUUUUUUUAUUAGACUGCUACAACAUCUUUGAUUUAGCAAGAUAGCUCUAUGUUUUUUUUUAAAAAAAAUAAGUAGUCGUCGCCGGAUCCAUGUUCUGACAAAAAAAGAGUAGUCGCCGGACCGAAUCUAUGUUUUGGAGAAAAAAAAGUAGUCACCGGAUAGUUCACGGGUCAUCUCUUAUGUCAAAGUCUAUAUUUUCAAACGAGAAUAUCCUUUAUUAGUAACACACUUGCUCUCUUGCUAGUCAUAAAAGCGGUCGUCUUUAGACUUUUUUUUAAGUCAACAAGCUUGACCACCUAAAAUCCUUUUACAUAAAUCCAAAAUAAGUAAAAUUUUUUUAUUUUAACAAAUCAAAUUUAUUAUUUUCAUAUAUAUGCUCAAAAUCUAUGUUCUAAACAAUAAUUGUGGUGAAAUUUUAAGUUACUUUUGUAGACCCACGCGUAAUUAGCAAACACCAGUCUACUCGAUCGGUUUAGCCAGCCGAAUUGCCACAGCCGCCUCUGAUCCCUUUCUUUUAGGAAAAUUUGUAAUGAUAAUUGUUAUGCAGUGGUGUCCAAAUUAUUCAAGAAAAAAAAUGGUUUCAUAUCUCUAAUGUUUAGUUUUGUACCUUCAUUUUUUUAUUUGUUGGCUUGUCGCACCAAAGUUGUGUGUUAAUUCCCGCAUAGUUCCACAUUUUUCUUUAUUCUUUAUACUUUGUUAUUGACAACAUGUUUGGUUUAGAUUAUUAAGUAUAUCAUAAACUAAAUAUUGAUAUAUAAUAUAAUUAAUAAAUAGCUUAAAAUAAGUGGUUAAAAUACAGUAGAACAAAGUUUUUUGAAAAAAAUAUUUUUUUAAAAAAAAAGUUGAACAAAUAAUAAUAAUGAAUAAGGCCGACAUAUAUUGCUGAUCAGUAUUCACCGAAUGCAGGUUGCGGUCCUUGCGUUGCUUGACUCCUUGUGGAGCAGUGGAGGAGUGCUGACCGUUGUUGACGCCAUCAAGGAAACACAGCUUAUAAUUACCCUUUAUAAUGGGAAAAUAUGUAAAAGUACCGGCCGAUUGGGGAUGAAACACUGAAACAGUGAAUAACUUGACUCAGGUUAAUGGCAAGUCUUAUGUAGCGUAAAAUAUAGAGGCAGAAUUUUGAUGUUGUACGGAUUUUUGUUUUAUUUUAGGGUAUUAGGGUUGUGAGAGUUUUGCGCUAACUCUACUCCGAUCCACAUCAACAUUACGCAAUGCUGAUAUAAAUUAUGACAGAUCCAAAAUCACUAUUAUACAAACAUGCAAAUUAAUAUAAAUUUAAUCUACAUAAAAACAACAAAUAAAAAUUUAAUCGACAUUAAAAAAUAAAUUCUAUUUGUGUGCAUGCACAGUACUAUUAUUAUUUUUGUUGCUUGGUUUUAUUAUUUUUGUUCCUUUCAUUGUAGACUGAAUUUAUCCUUCAUGUUUACCCCGUUUGAAGUUGAUUAGACAAAGAUUAAGCUAGGGCACAAAAAACAAGAAAACCAUUAACAUUAAUUUAGUUUUAAUUACUAUAAACUUAAAAAUUAGAUUUAUUUUAUAUUUUAAAUCAACUUUAAUACAUAUAUAUAAUUUUCACACAAAAUAUAUCAUUUAGUAGUUUGAAAAAUAUCCAAAUCAAGAUAACAUAUGUAUCUUAAUUUCACCAGAAUGGACUUAUUAAUCCUGUCCCAAUCAAUUUACCAUUUUUUUAAAAAAAUUCUAUAUAGCUAAGUUAUACAAAUAACGGGUGCGGCCUUGUAUGUGUAAAAAAAAAAAUCGAUCCCAUUAAAUUUCUCCAUUUAAUUUGGCCCAAAUUCACCUCAAGCACGUCCUGUGUUAUCUGUAUAUAUAUCCCGACGCAUGCAGGUGCACGCGGCCGCAUAUUUCGCCGCGAACUCUCCGUUCCGGUGCCCCAACUUACCAAUCCGACGGAGACCCAGCUCUCGUCUCGCCGCCGAUCUCCAUGGCCCAACCUUGGCGCCCGUUCGUCGCCGACAUCUCGCCGGUCGCAGUGGCCGACGACGACGACCCACCGGCGGCGUGCGCCGCGUGCGCCCACCUGGGGCGCGCGUGCCCGACGGGAUGCCCGCUGGCGCGCUGCUUCCCGGCGGCCGGGGACCAGCCAGCGGACGGCCGGCUAUUCCGGAACGCGUUCCGCCUCUUCGGCGUCGGCAACGUCGUCGGCUUCCUGCUGGCGGCCGGCGGGGACCCGGGGAAACGGCGCGACGCCGCGGUGUCCGUCGCCUACGAGGCCGACGCGCGGGCCGACGACCCCGUGCGCGGCGCCCACGGCGUGGUGAUGGACCUCGAGCGGGAGCUCGACUGCCUGAAGGCCGAACUCGCAACCGCGCAGAGCGCGCUCGCGCGGCACCGCCAAUACGCCCAGCCGCCGCCGCCGCCACCCGACGCACUCGAUCGAGCUCGAGCCCUUAACUACUUCUGCCAUGGAUGCUGCGGCGACGUCGACGGAGCGGCCUGAGGAGGGCCGCGCUUUGAUCAGAUCAGAUGCUUGAUGCUUCGCCGGCCUUGUGCCAACGAAGAAAAUCUUAAAUUCAGACGUGCUGCUACAAUUAUUAGCCUCUGAAUUCAUCAGAGUUUAGUUUAUUGUAGGUUUAUGUCCAGAUUGCAUUAACAGUGUGGCUCCUAGGUUUUGGAAAUACAGUUUGGCUCCUAUGUUUUGGAAAUAGAUUACUAGUGCGUCGUUAAAGUAGUCUCUUGUUUCAGCAUUAGUAGCAAGUAGCCCCUGAAUUCAGAGUUUAGUUUAUUGUAGGUUAUCUCCAGAUUGCAUUAAUAGUAAAUUACUAGGGCGUCGGCAAUCUUCAAAUUGAACCAUCACAAUGCACCUAUCGUCGUAGCCAGGUGCGGGCGAACCCUCCCCUCCUCUCCCCCGCCUCGCCGCCACCGGAUCCAACCCCCCCCCCACUCGGCCCCUCCCUUGCGGCUGGAACCGACCCGUCGCCGCCGGAUCUGGUCAGCGAGCUAAUGGCGGCAGAAGACGCGGGCGAUGGCGCGGCUGGCCGGUGCGGCCGACGGUGAGGCUGGCGGUUGUCGGGCAAGGAGCCGUGGUGGUCAUGUGGCGCCGGUACCCAGAUCGCCCUCACGGCUGGGAACGGCGUUGGUGAGGUCGGCGGCUCUCGGGGACCGUGCGUGUUGGUGUGUGGUGGAGGUGGUUUGAUAGUUGCGCCUUCGGUGAGGCCGUGCCCGCGGGGAGCUCCGAGGUUCUUGCUCGCCGGAGGGUCGGUUAGUCAGGGCUAGUGCGGCAUUCUUGCAACAGUCGUGUGUGCGGAUUGGUUAGGUGUGUAGGAGCGGACAGGGAACUGUAGGCGAAAGUCUUGCCGUGCCUUUUGGCCGGCUUGACGAUGGGGACACCCUUUGGCACCGUCCCUCUCCUUGGAGACAUCGUUAUGGUGUGUUCCCUCUUAUUCUUUCACCAUUGUGCUCCAGGUGAAAGCCUUGCCCCAGUUUCCAGGUGAACGGCAGCGACGAUUCACGUCGCGUCCCUGCUGUGGGUACCGUUUGGAGAACCUUUUCAUGCGCAUCUCUGGUCGUGGAGUUGGCGUUAGCUCUAGGGAUUUCUACUUCCACACCAACGCUAAAUAGGCCCGAAAUGUUCGGCGAGGCCUUCGCUUUCCUGGAUCCGCUUCUUGCUUGCGGCUGGCAGCCAAUGCCUUUGUUUCAGUUUGCAAGGUGGUGUCGAAGUUGCUUUAUUGUUGAGGCGCGAUGAACCUCAGCAACGGUAACACGGUGCAGUCUCUUUCUAGGUGUGCUGGUGCUAGCAAUAAGCAGGAAGUGGUAAUAUGAUGGUUUUGGCUGAUGUCCGCCGUGGGAAGUCGGAGCUGCUUGGUCGUUUCUAUGAUGAGCUCGACAACAACGAUACAAGUUUGUGGUGAAGUCGGAGGUGCUUUGCUUUUGCAAGCUUAACAACGAUGACAUGCUUUCAAUAUGAAAGUCGGACCUGCUAUCGCUUUUGUGCAAGCUUUGGCACUGAUGACUUGCAUUUGGGCUCCAUCAGUGGUCUACUAUGAGUGGGUUGUAGCGUUGAGUUGUUGUACGUGCUGUGAAUUUGUUCGGUCGACAACGGUAGUAUUUAUUUUUGGGGAGCUUGGCAAUACUUUCUCGGCACGAUGCUUUUUCUUUAUCGUAACCCGUUUGAGUUUUUAUUCCUGCUUAUUAAAAAUAUAAUUGGCAGCCACUGUCUGCCGAUUUAGUUUCAGAAAAAAAAAAGACUCGAGCAAUUUGCUGCCGAUCGAUCUCGAUAGCAUCAACUGUUCUUCCGUAUAUACGAUAUAGCAACAAAAUUGAAAGAAGAGGUUGAUUUAUCUAGCUAGCUGGUAAUAGUAUGCAGCUGGACGGAACAUGUGAACAGGGUUACUGCAACUGCAAUAUUGCGGUGGAUUUUGCAAUGCCGGCCACUGCUACGAUACGAGAGAGAUGGAGAGCUCGAGACGAAUUAAUAAGAGAGAAUCCGAGACUCGAACGAUCCGUACGUACGUCGUCGCCCUAUUCGGAAUCCAACGCAGGUGCCCUUACGCGGCCGCAUAUUUCGGCCAGAGCUCCAUGCAUCUCUCUGUGUAUUUUGCUCAUGUGCCACCGGAGCGAGCCGAUCGAUCGACCAGCCUAGCCUAGCCUCGCAGCGCGCCGAAAUUCCAAUCUCGAUCGAGAUCUCAUCGGCUUAAUUGGAUCGGCGGCAAUUAUACUUAUAUAUAUAUAUAUAUAUUGGUUGAUGACUGAUCACCCGCCGUGCGCUACCGGUACGCGUGCCUCCUCGUCGGCGCGCGGGGGUCUUCCGGUCCCUGGUGGCGCGCGGAGGAGGUCAGCCCGGCCGGCGAGGUCGCUUACGAGGCCGACGCGUGGCCCGCCGACCCCGUGCGCAGGCGCCCACGGCGUGGUGAGAUGGACCUUAGCUCGACUGCCUGAAGGCCGGUGCGGUGGUCGUAGGCCGCGAAGCCGUCGCCGGGGGAGAAGUGGGAGGUCUUGCUCACCGUGAUCGAGCACCCGCUCCUCCGCGGCGCAGUACUCCUCGCCCACGAUCUCGCCAUUGCCGCGGCGCGCGCUAGCUAGCUAGCUGCUUGUUGCUUGCUUGCGUUGCACUGUCUCGCUUGCGUCGCGUGCUUGUCUGCCUCUUCUCCCACCUCUCAUACUCUAUCACCUCUCUCUCUCUCUCUUUCCCCUCUUCCUCUCUCUCUUGUGGGCGCAGUCGGGAGCGGCAGUGGCCGGGAGGCAGGCGGUGGCCGGCGGCGGGCGUGGUGAGGGCGCGGCUUGCGUGGCAGGGAGGCGGGCGUCGACCGAGCGAGCGAGCAGCCAUGGCGAUCUCGCCGGCAGCGACAGCAUCCACCCCGCGCUGGAGCAGCAGCUCGACGAUCUCGGCAUGCCCCUCGCAGGCAGCGAUGUGCAUCACCGUGCUCGACCCCUCCUCCGAGAUCUCCAACCACACCUCCACCGCUGCCCAAUCCCCGCCGAAAUCUGGCCGGAGAGGAGGUUGUGAGCCAGGCGAGCGCCGCGAGCUUCUGCAACGCUGUGAUGGCGACCGGGAUCUGGUCGGCGAGCUGGUUGUUGGGCAAUGACAGCUCGGAUGGGAGGUAGCCCGCAAGUGAGGAGUUGGCGAGCACCACGCCGGCAGGCGACCCUGCCGUCGCCGUCGUCGGUGCAGGUGACGCUGGACCAGCCGCAGGGGUCGUUGUCGGCUUCCCUCCACGUCAAGAGCGUGCCAUUGGGAUCCUUCGACACGCCCACACAACCUCGCCACGCCCGCCGCGCCCUUGCCGUGCCCGCCGCCGGCUGCCGGCCACCGCCGCUCCUGAUUGCGCUCACGAGAGAGAGAGGAAGACGGGAAGAAGGGAGAGAGAGAGAGGUGCACUACUACAGAAAAGGUUUUUGCAGACGGCUGGAAUCUAUCUCCACAUGCGGUUGGCUGGCCCGCAUGCGCGAAAUCGUCUGCAAAGAUCAACAUUAGCGCAUGCGGCCGGCCUAGCCACAUGCGAAAAUCGAUCUUCGCAUGUGGUCACUUAAGACGGCUGCAUGCGAAAAUCGAUCUUCGCAUGCGGCCGAUCUAAGCAGUCGCAUGCGAUAAUGCAUCUUCGCAUACGGCUCGUCGACCCGCCCCCCGGCAGGGAUUUUUGCAGGCACGGACACAAGUCACCCGCAUGGAACCAAAUCACCCCAUCGUACGGAAAAACCAUUUCUGUAGUAGUGGUGAGAGUACAGUAGGUAGGGCCCGCUCAGGGGUCUCCAAUAUGCCAGCGACUGAAAGGGCAAGAGCGACAUUUUUUCUGCCCAGGCCCACAUGUCAGAGCUGCCAAACGGUUAAACCCAAACAAAAUAGCAACCGAAUGGUGUGGAGGGCGCGAUAAAGUUUGACGUGGGUAGAGAGGGAGGCUCGAACUUUUUAGUCGCACAGAGGCAGACACCAUCUUUCUUAAUGGCACACAAGGAAAAACCUCUUUUGGCCUUGGGGUUCGUGUGAUUUUGGAGGUGGUUGUGAAUUGCGAUUGCGACGAGAAGCUGGAAAAUGUUGAGGGAUAGGGAGAGAGACAUGUGGAAAUAGACAAGGUGAACAGCCAGCUGCACAAAUUUUCAUGGACAACACUACAACUUGGGCCCACAUGUCGGUGGCGUAAGUGGUCUGACUUGUCAACUCGGAGAGAGCUCUUCACUCUUUGUAUAUGAAUUGCCCUGGUCACCUCAGCCGGCGAGCCCACGUGGCCACGCCGAGUCACCCACGCCCACCGACUUCGACUUCUCUCACCUCCCCUUCCCUCCCCUCACUUCCGGUGAUCCCACGCCCACACCCACUGACCUCUCUUUCCAUCCCCUUGCCAUCGGCGAGCCCACACCAACACCCGCUGACCUUGCCUUCCAUUCCCUCGCCGCCGGCCACUCCCGUAAUUGCCCAAAUCGCAGUCGACAUCGGCGACAAUGGUGGACGAUCCGUCCCUUGCGCCCAAGUCAUCUCCACUGCCGCCGCCUCCGUUCCCGCCGCAGCAGCAGAGGCCGCGAUGCGCCACCUGCAGGGAGCAAAAGAUGGGGUGCUCGCUGGAGUGCCUGCUCGCGUCAUACUUCAUGGGGACGAGAAGGUACGGCUCCUCAACGCGCAGCGCCUCUUCGGCACCCGCAAUAUCCGCCGUUUUGUCCAAGCAACUCUACCGGAGAAACGAGAUGAUUUGAUGAGUUCAAUCAAAUACGAGGCCCAAGUGUGGGCAAGGAAUCCCCAGUCCGGCGCCACCGGCGUCAUGUGGCACCUAGAACGCAAGGUCGAGCGCGAGCUUGCCAAGCUCUCCAAGCUGCGUCAAAAACUGGAGAUGUGCAAGAACCUCGCCGCCAAGAAGAGCAUCCUCGAGGCUAAGGGCGUCGGCGUCCGCCAGGUGACAUUCAAGGAGCAGGAGCAGGAGCGCCAAUAUCAGGCGUGCCCCGCGCGCAUCAGCGCUUGGACGCUACGCUUGUUUGUUCACCGGAGUGCCUGCGAGAUACCCAUUUCCCAAAUGGAAAGCCACAUAGCUUGUAUGCAGUUCUUCGGUAGGGCCUUCAUGGCAUUCGUUGGACAGAUCCAGGAGGAGGCGAUCAACCACGAGGCAGAGGACGCACACUAUGACUUCUUCCCCCUCCAACCCCAUCUGGUGCUCGACUCUCCCCGCAACCCCCACCCACUGGGGAGGCCGCCAUUGACGCGCUCGCACAAUGUGCACGGCUAGACACGUUGGCCUCAACAACACCGACCACGAUGGAAUGCCAUAGGGACGGAUGUGUGCCUCCUACCUAUGUCAAGGGAGAAGGCGACGUCGACCAUACGUCGUCGAUGAGCUUCCACAAUAGAUGAGAUUGUCAUGACCAUCUCAACUGCUGCAUAUGUGCCCCAUUUGUAUGUGCCCCAUUUGUAUGUGGUUAGCCUUCUAUUUUCUUCUGAUUAGAGACUGCUACAACAUCUUUGAUUUAACAGGAUAAAUCUAUGUUUUUUUUUUUGAAAAAAAGUAGUUGUCACCGGAUCAAUGUUUUGGAGAAAGAAAAAAGGGGAAAAAUAGUAGUCCCCUGAUGAUUCGCGGGUCACUUUUUUGUCUGUUAAAGACUAUUUUGAGAGAAGAAUGUCCUCCGUAACAUACUUGCUCUCUUCCAGCCCAAAACCACGUUCUAAACAAUAAUUAUGGUAAAAUUUAAGUUACUUUUGUAGACUACACGUAAUAAGUACUCCCUCCGUCCCAAAAUAUAACUACUUCUAGCCUCUAGAAUUUGUCGCAAAAUAUAACAACUUCUACACCAAUAUUUUCUUCUCAACCAAUCACAACCUUCCACCAUUCAAUUUUCUCACCUACCUUCAAUUCACAUCAAAUCACAACCCUCUACUAUUUAAUUCUAUAUAUUUUCAUAUAACCGUGUCCAACUCUAAAAAUUCUUAUAUUCUAGGACGGAGGGAGUAGCGCAAGAACCUCGCCAGACUCUCCCUGCAACCCCCACCCACUAGGAGGCCACUAUUGCCGCGCUCGCACAAUGUGCCCGGCCGGACUCGUUGGCCUCAACGACAUCGACCACGGUGUACGACAAGUUUGGGCCGACACCCGACACGGCAUCGCCGGUGGGGAGCACGAGCGUGUGCACGCCGAGACCUUCGCGCUGGCGCCGCAGCCGCACAAGCAACAUAGACCGGCAUACCACGCGGCCCACUUCGACAACAACGACCUCCUCCUGGGCACUCACGCGGCCAUCGACUUCUACGAGGUGGACGCAUCAGCAGCUGUUGUUUCUGCCGCCGCCGCCGCCGAUGCUACAAGAUGGCCACUAGACGAUGAGAUGGUUGAAGAUGAUUACCUUGAUGAUCCACCUGCCAUAGAUGCUGUGGCCUACGUUACCUGGAUACGGCAGAGAAGCCACGUAUCUGUAUCGGAUGCGCGAACGGAUACGGAUACGUAUCCCGCACGUAUCCACCGAAACAACCGCAUCACACUCGGCCGCAGUGAAGCAGAGCGCGCUGGCGCAAGCUAAUGGGUGCACCAGCUAGCGCUCAGCACCUCCGCCGCCCCCACAUAGCACCUCCGUCGCUAGGCACAGCACGGUCACCAGCGCAUUUUCCUUUGUUCCAAGUGUCAAUCAAGUGCUACCAUGGAUUUUGGAACUAGAACCUCAAGUGCUAGUGCAUGUGUAUAUCUAGCAAUCCUGGUGGUAGCGCGGCUGCUAUUGACAAUUACAAAUUUAUCAUGAGACUAAUAGAACAUCAAGCGCAAGCAACAUCUUGAUCUGGUGGUGCUUGGUGGCUUGGUGCUAGCGUCAUACCACCUAUUAGACGAUGCUUUAAUUGAUCUUGUAAAUAUGAUGCAUCAAUUUAUUGAUCUUUCAUGUAUGUGUUCAUGUGUUGAUUUUUCUCUGAUUUGUUGUGAUGUGACCAUGGCUACCACGGAUGCAACCAUUGCUCACAUCAUGGAUGAACAAGAAGAUAUCAAGAUCAAGUCCUCCAAGUGCUGGAAUCCGAUUCGGCCACCUACUACACUGCUGACUUCAAACGGCCGCCGAAUCUGCAUACGACCUCCGUUUUUGGCCCGUGAGUACUUGAUGGAAAGCUCUUGGAGUCCUCUUUCCAAUGGAUCCAGCCUCAUUGCGAAAUUCCAUCUUAUUGAGCCGCAAUUGAAGCAACAAGGUGCUGUGUCACCUAUAAUGGGCCUAUGGGCUUGUAACUUCGUCUGGGACCCCGGCCCAUGUGGGGUGCGCCCCAACCGGGUGGAGCACGACCCUAGGGUCCCCUUAGGUCAUCCUCCCACCUCCUUAAAUAGUUAGGUACCCCUUUACAGUUUCUUGGGUUUUGUUUAGAUGAAAGUUUAGCCAUUGCUACUUCGCUUGCAGCGCGCGUGUCGGCUAGACCGUCCGUCUGCUUGUAUUCGAAACCCCAACUUAUCGUGUGUAUUCAUUCCUAUUUGCAGUUCAGAUUGCUUUUAUCUUGUUCUUGCUUGUUUCUUCGAUUUGCUUGCAGGAAUAAGGUUGAUCUGCACCGGCAAGAUCAACAACCCACGGAGAGGUGUAUCGAUCGCUAAGGCGCAACACAACGUCUCGUACGGUUGUAGUCGGAUCGUCAACGUUUCUCCCAAAUCGUAGUUAUCACAACUCACCGAAAGAUCGGGCCAACAACAGCCUUGAGUGUCGAGAGGAACUCAGGGUUCAUCAUGUUGGCAGCUGGCAAGUUAAAUCAGCUCGCCAACUUGAAUUAUCUAGAGAGGAGAAUUGGAGAAGAUUGAUAAGGAAUCGGAUGCAAAGAAUGCUAUCUAUGGAUUAUUUCCUUACAAAGCUUCACUAUUUAUAUAUUUUUAAUUAUAUAUAUAAGUGUAUCCCCAUAUCCUUACUUUUAGAAAAAUGACGUAUCCACAUAUCGUCGUAUCGCAUAUCUGUAUCCGUAUCCCCGUAUCUGGGUAACAUAGGCUGCGGCGAUGUCAACGGCGCCGGAAUGCCAUGGGGACGGACGUGCGCCUCCUGCCGAUGACAAGAGAGAAGGCACCGUCGACUCGUCGAUGAGCUUCCGCAAUAGAAGAGAUUGUCAUGACCGUCACAAUUGCUGCAUGUUUGCCCCAUUUGUAUGUGGUUAGCCUUCUAUUUUCUUCUCAUUAGAGACGGCUACAACAUCUUUGAUUUAACAAGAUAGAUCUAUGUUUCUUUUUUGAAAAAAAAGUAAUCAUUGUCGGAUCAAUGUUUUGGAGAAAGAAAAAAGGGGAAAAAUAGUAGUCCCCUGAUGAUUCGUGGGUCACUUUUUUUUUCUAUUAAAGACUAUUUUGAGAGAAGAAUGUCCUCUGUAACAUACUUGCUUUCUUACAGCCCAGAACCUACGUUCUAAACAAUAAUUAUGGUGAAAUUUAAGUUACUUUUGUAGACUACGCGUAAUAAGUACUCCCUCCGUUCCAAAAUAUAACUACUUCUAGCCUCUAGAAUUUGUUGCAAAAUAUAACAACAUCUACACCAAUAUUUUCUUCUGAACCAAUCACAAUCUUCCACCAUUCAAUUUUCCCACAUACCUUCAAUUCUCAUCUAAUCACAACCCUCUACUAUUUAAUUCUAUAUAUUUUUAUAAUUACCGUAUCCAACUCUAAAAAUGCUUAUAUUCUAGGAUGGAGGGAGUAGCACAAAAACCUCGUUGCCAACAAGGGCAUCCCCGAGGCUAAGGGCGUCGGCGUUCGCCAGGUGACAUCCAAGGUGCUGGAGCAGGAGCACCAUUGUCAUGCGUGCCCCGCACGCAUGGAUGCCACGCUUGUUUGUUUGCCGCAGUGCCUGCUGGUUACCCAUUUCCCAGACGGAAAGCCGCAGAGUUUGCACGCAGUUCUUCGUAAGGCAUUCAUGGCAUUCGCCGGACUGGACCAGGGGGAGGUGAUCAACCACGAGGCAGAGGACGUGCACCACGACUUCUUCCCACUCCAAGACCAUCCAGCGCUCAACUCUCCCUGCAACCCCCAUCCACUAGGAGGCCACUAUUGCCGCGCUCGCACAACGUGCCUGGCCGGACUAUUUGGCCUCAAUGACAUCGACCACGGUGGACGACAAGUUUGGGCCGACACCCGAUAUGGCAUCGCCGGUGGGGAGCACGAGCGUGUGCACGCCGAGACCUUCGCGCUGGUGCCACAGCCGCACAAGCAACACAUACCAGCAUACCACGCGACCCACUUCGACAACAACGAUCUCCUCUUGGGCACCCACGCGGCCAUCGACGUCUACGAGGCGGACGCAGCAGCAGCUGUUGUUUCUGCCGCCGCCGCCGAUGCUACAAGAUGGCCACUAGACGAUGAGAUGGUUGAAGAUGAUUACCUUGAUGAUCCGCCUAUCAUAGAUGCUGCGGCGACAUCGACGGCGCCGGAACGCCAUGGGGAUGGACGUGCGCCUCCUGCCGACGUCAAGGGAGAAGGCGACGUCGACUCGUCGAUUAGCUUCCGCGAUAGAAGAGAUUGUCAUGACCGUCACAAUUGCUGCAUGUUUGCCCCAUUUGUAUGUGGUUAGCCUUCUAUUUUCUUCUCAUUAGAGACUGCUACAACAUCUUUGAUUUAACAGGAUAGAUCUAUGUUUUUUUUUUUUGAUAAAAUAAGUAGUUGUCGCCAGAUCAAUGUUUUUGGGAAAGAAAAAGGGGAAAAAAUAGUAGUCCCCUAAUGAUUCGCGGGUCACUUUUUUUUCUGUUAAAGACUAUUUUGAGAGAAGAAUGUCCUCCGUAACAUACUUGCUCUCUUACAGCCCAAAACCUACGUUCUAAACAAUAAUUAUGAUGAAAUUUAAGUUACUUUUGUAGAGUACGCGUAAUAAGUACUCUCUCCGUCGCAAAAUAUAACAACUUCUACACCAAUAUUUUCUUCUCAACCAAUCACAACCUUCCACCAUUCAAUUUUCCCACCUACCUUCAAUUCUCAUCUAAUCACAACCCUCUAUUAUUUAAUUCUAUAUGUUUUUAUAAUUACCGUAUCUAACUCUAAAACUACUUAUAUUCUAGAAUGGAGGAAGUAGCGCAAGAACCUCGCUGCCAACAAGGGCAUCCCCGAGGCUAAGGGCGUCGGUGUCUGUCACACCCUGAAAAUUCAAAAUAUAUAAAUUGUUGUUUAAUUGGAAUUUUUAGAAAUAAUUUUAAAAGUCUUGAAGAGAAGAUCUAAUUUUAAUUAAUAAAUUCCAAUAUAAAAUGAGGCCAGAUAAAAUUUCAUUAAAUACUUUGCUUAAUUCUAUAAUUCCUAGAUUUUUCUGGGAUUUAUUUGAGCUAAGGAAGUAUUUUUAAUAAAUGGAAUUGCAUUUCAUGAAUAAUUUAAAUUGAAAAAGGUUUUAAAAAGUCUUCUUUUGGCUUUGGGCCGAAAGUCGGCCCAAAACCGCUCUCUCUCUCCUCGGCCCAAGUCGGCCCAGUCCGCCGCCGCGCGCGCGCGUCCGCCCGCUGACAGGUGGGGCCCACCUGUCAGGGUCGUCGUCUACCUCCGGCCGCCGCCGCCCGAAACCCUAGUUUCGCGCCGCCGCCGUUCCUUUCCAAAUUCGGUCGAUCCUUUCCUUCUCCGGCCGAAUUGAUAGAGGGGAAACAAUAUCCGGGAUCUCCUCUACCUUUUCUCUUUUGGAAUCAUCGGCUAAUUCUUUUUGGAAAUCGUUGGAUUCGAGUUCGAAUCGGAUUCGUCUCUCUCCUCCGAACCCUAAACUUUCCUUCUCGUCGCCAGCCGCCGUGGGCCUUCGCCGUCGCCUCCUAGCCCCUUUAAAAGGACCCCCGAGCUCUUCUCUACCCGCCGCCACUCUCGCCUUUGCCUCUCGUCGCCGGAAGAGCUCUAGCGCCGUGCAACCUAGCGCCGCCGUCGCCGCCGUCGCUCCAGCCGUGCGCCGCCGCCGUCUCGGUCGUCGUCAUCGCUCGGGAAGGCCACCGUCGUGAACGCCAAGUCGCCGCCGUUCUCGUCCGCUCCUUCGCCGCCGCCGAAGACCGCCGGAGUACCGUCGCCGCCGUCGACCCGAAGUUUGCCGCCGCUUCCUCCUCGUCGCCGUCGCCGUCCGUUGAUCUUCCGCCGCUCUUUUGGUCACCGGUGAGUUCGUCGCGUCGCGCUCUACCCGUUGGUGCCUUCCGUUCGCGCCGCCGUGCCGUCGUUCACCGGCAAGCAUGCAAGCCCGAGCCGCCGAGCCGUCGCCGCCGGUGGUGACGUCAUCGCUGACGUCAUCGUCGCCCUCUUCCGUGAGCCGGUCGUAGACCGAUCGAUCUCGGCCGUCCGUUUUGGAUGGAUCGAUCUCGGCCGUCCGUUCGCGUGAACCGUCGCCCGUGCGCCCAGUCCACCGAAACCCUAGCCCGCUGACGCAAUAAUCCUCCUUUUCCUUUUCAAAAAUAAUUCAUUAUUGCGUCCUAAUUCAAUUAAAAUCAAUAUAAGUGUUUUAAUCCGAUUUAAUCUUCAAAAACUCAUAACUAAUUCAUCUUAGCUCCGAUUUAGUUGGUUCAAGUCUCUAAAUUUUUCUAAAAUUGAGAUCUACAUGUUAAAAAUAUCCACAUGUACUGUUCAUGCUUGUUUAUGUGCUGUUUUGGUGAUUUUGCUCUUUUCUGUUUAGAUUCCGUCGUUUCCGGAGAGUCCGUUUUCGCAGGAGAAGAGUUUGAAGAGUUCCAAGGCCAACAAGGCAAGUCACACAGAUCCCAAACAACCCUUUGAGCAUGUUGAUCCCGUUUAAAGCUAUUGUUUCUAUUCAACUAUUGCAUUUAUUUUUGAAUGUCAUUGGGUGGAAUUAACCUAUUCUUUGUUAUAGCCCUUUUGUUCUUGAUUACUUUAUUCCUUGAUACCUUGGGUUAAUAUAACUUGACUAGUUGAGCUUUAUAUAUAUUGGUUCAACUAGAUAUUAGAUAUAAUUGCUUAGCCCUGCUUAGAAACAUUAGCUCACUAUUGGGAUAACUCUUGACUCACUGUUAGUUAAUGAUGGCUUAAUGAUAGCUCACGAUGGUCAAUCGUGAUUGGUUAAUUAAUUAAUGUGCCAACUAAAACCUGAUAAUGGUGGGUUGUGAGCACAUGGUUUUGAUGGUCGUGCUCAUGACAAUUAAGGACCGGUUCACGAGUUUCGGUUGUGAAACAUUAACCGUGCCAACCACAAGCCAGCAUGGGCAACGGCUUUAUCUUUUGUAUAGCAUGGUUCAUUGCGGAGCACCAGACUGAGAAGUGGCGGAGAUAAGCCCACGGGGGUCGCUGGGGAGUCCAUGCCUUGUUUAUAAGGGGGUGAUUAUGAUCCAGGAAAGGUGCACUGCAGUGGAUUGUGUUGUACGAGAGGUAUUGUCACAAUUCCUUUCAAAGGUACCGUGGUGGUAUUGAGGCACAUGGUGACAUGAUGUGGAGUUGUGUCUUGUGGGUACAGUGGUACACCUCUGAUCAGAGUAAAACUAUUCGAAUAGCCGUGCCCGCGGUUAUGGGCGGGUCUAACAAUGUCUUUCGUGAUUAGUUUCACACUUCUCACCAUAAUAAAAGAUGCUAUAACUGGUAAUAAUUUGUUUAACUCCUAGUUUGGAAUGGUAUAUUCCUGGUUUGGAGAUAGAUCUGUACAGCCGGGUAUGGUUGUUCAUGAUGGUUGGGCCUGAGCUGCAUGGGUGUGCUGUAUAGUGUUGAUUAAAAUUGAUGAUUAAUUACUCUACUGUUUUAUAAUUCUCAAAUGUUUGCUAAAUGCUGCUUUUGCAAAUGAAACCCUACUAUGCCAUCCUUUGUUAUCCUGUGCACUUGCAUAUUUGCUGCGUGGCUUGCUGAGUAUGUCAUAUACUCACCUUGCAAUCAUUCAUCAGAGGAAGAGUUCUACAAUGAUGCUGAUGGUGUGAAGGAUUAGGUGUAGCCUUGGUCAAGCUGCUUGUGGAGUGGAGCCGUCUGCGCCGUUUAUUUUAUUUUCCGCUGCUUAGAUCUUUAUUGAUUGAGAGGAACUAUCUACCUCUGUAAUGACAUUUUAAUCGCUUAUUAAUUAGAGUAAUAAUUGUACUCUAUUAUCAAUUUGUUAUUGUGUGCCUCGGCUGAUUCCUAGACGAGGGUUCACACACAUGUAAGCGUUUGGAAUUUUGGAUAGAAAUUCCGGGCGUGACAAGUUGGUAUCAGAGCCCCCUUGACCCUAGGUUAUGCCAAAUGGUUAUCCAUAGAAGCCCUCUAAAAAUAUUGGAAAAGUAGAACUGUUCUCCUCCCUUUCUCUUUUAAUUAAACCAAACUAAUGGCACAUGCACUUCAUAAUCUCUUUUAAUGGUUCUCAUUCAAAAUUUAUUCCAGUGUUAUUAGUACUGUACAUCUAUUACUGUACUAAUGGCUCAUUUACCAGCAAAAGUUUUACAAUGUUGUUUUAUUUAAUCUUGCUGCAAUAAAAUAAAUUUAGUAUGUCGAUUUUAUAACUUUCUUUUAUUUCUUUUGAAACCUGUUGUUCAAAAGUACAAAAAUUGUAACCUUGUUUCCAACUAUUUCAACUUAUCUUGCAAGCUUGGUUUACUUUAUUUACUUACCUUUUACUUUGAUUUUCUAACUUUAUUCAAAUUAAUCCAAAAACUUUGUGCUAUUAAUUGGAUAAAUAUCUUAACUCCCUCCUUUCACUUGUCUUUAGAGUCUUUAGAUGCCGCGCUACAAGCCUGAGUACCUGUUUGGUGUUGAGGGUUUUGUCCAGGAGUUGCGUACAAUGUCCUUUGCCAUAGGAUUUGGGACUGCCCCUUUUUAUGCUCAGAUUCCUCAUGAUCGUCACGAAGAGAAGUGCCGAGUCAAAGUCACUUUGAACAGUAAUAGUGAAGAUAUCCCCUCAGUGAUGUUCGAAGCUGGAGGAAGAAACUACAUCCAUGCAUGUCAGGAGGUGGCAAGGAUCGCCAUAGGAGAGCUCCGUGAUCGCUACAGUGAUCAGUUGGCCGACAUGGAGUAUCGCUAUCAUCCUCGCCAACCCCAGGGAAGUGACCGUGGCAGUUAUCUUGAGACUGAAGGAAUUGAGAAUGAUGCUACCACAAGGCAUUUGGUUGAGAUGCUGUGGGCUAUGGAUGAAAGUCGUGCAGAGACUGUGUUAGCGGCUCAAGAUCGUGAAGACCGGAAUCGUGGUAAGAUUUGCAAGCUAGAAGACAAGGUGGAUCGUUUGGAGAAGGAAUUAGCCGCAUUAAAGGGAGAAGCACCGCCGCAGAAGGCCAGGAUUCGUCUUACCGCAAGGAAGAGAGCUCUAUUUGUCCCUCGCUACCAAUUGGCGCCAAAGGUCCGUGUGGUGGAGAAAGAAGUUACCCCAGCCCUAGCGGAUCCUCCGGUCGUCAAUGUAAGUGAUGAUGAAGGAGAAGAAUCGAAGCGCACUCAUUCCAAGAUUGAGUGGGGAGCAACUCAAGAUGAUGAAGACGAGCCGAACGAGCCUUCAAUCAACUCCGAUGCUCGGAAGAACUAGAAUGCCAUUGUCAAGCCGUUGUCUUAGAUCGUUGUGUUAGUUUGUUUGUUUAAGUUUGCUUGUGUGUGUCUCGCAUGUGAUUUACAUCAGUGGUGAGAUGUAAGUGCAUGUGUUUGUUUGCUUUCGAGUGUUAGGAAGUUGGUGAGUUUAGUGGUGUGAGAGUCUUCUGUUUUGUAAUAAUGAAACUCAGUUAAGAUCAAUAAAAGUUAAAGUAAAUCUCUGUCCUAAGUAGUUCCCCGGUUUCUCUUCUUGUGCCCUGCCCAUACCAGAUGGUGAAUACUCGCAGCAACGGGAAUGGCCCCAACAACAACAAUAACAACAACAAUGGAGAGAAUCCCACACUUGCCCAAGUUCUGGCUCAACAGACUCAGUUAAUGAACAUGAUGAUGCAGCAACUUCAGAACCAGCAGAACCAAGGAAAUAACCAUGCACCUCCUCAGAAUAAGUUAGCAGAAUUUCUUCGUGUAAGGCCGCCUACUUUCUCUAGCACCACUAAUCCUGUUGAAGCUGGUGAUUGGUUGCAUGCCAUAGAGAAGAAGUUGGAUUUGCUUCAGUGCACUGAUCAGGAGAAGGUCUCAUUUGCAUCACAUCAGUUGCAUGGCCCUGCCUCUGAAUGGUGGGAUCAUUUCCGCCUGAAUAGGACUACUGCGGAACCUAUCACUUGGCUUGAAUUCACCGCUGCUAUCCGGAAGACGCAUAUACCAUCGGGAGUGGUGUCUCUCAAGAAGAAGGAAUUCAGGUCGCUCACCCAGGGAUCUCGCUCUGUUACGGAGUAUCUGCACGAGUUCAAUCGUCUGGCUCGUUAUGCUCCGGAAGAUGUGCGCAAUGAUGAAGAGCGCUAGGAGAAGUUCUUGGAAGGACUUAAUGAUGAGCUUUCUUACCCACUCAUGAUUGGAGAUUAUUCUGAUUUCCAGAAAUUGGUGGAUAAGGCUAUUCGUCAGGAAGACAAGUACAAUCGCAUGGAGCUGCUCAAUUCAAGACACAACAGGGGAAUAAUCAGAAGCCGCGUCUUACUUUAGGACCCCAGUCUAUGCCACAGGGAGGUUCUUCAUCUGUUGUUCGUCCGUAGCGUCAGUUCUUCAACAACAAUGCUGGCAACAACAUCCGCAAUCAAGCUCCACAUCCUGUUGCAGCUUCGACACAGCAACAGCCUGCCAAGAGGGAGCAAGGCAGCAAGCCCGUGGUGUGUUUCAACUGUGGAGACCCAGGACAUUAUGCUGACAAGUGUCCGAAGCCCCGACGCGUGAAGGUUGUCCCUACCCAGAGCAACUCUACCGUACCAGCAUCAAAGGCCCGUGUCAAUCAUGUCGCUGCUGCAGAAGCUCAAGAUGCUCCAGAUGUGAUUUUGGGUACGUUCCUUGUUAACUUAGUUCCUGCAACAGUGCUUUUCGAUUCUGGUGCUACACAUUCAUUCUUAUCUAUGAGUUUUGCGGGAAAUCAUGGGAUGGAAGUAGAAGAUCUUAGACGUCCUUUGAUGGUUAGUACCCCAAGUAAUCAAGCACUCUCUUUGCAACGUAGCCCCUCUGUCAAAAUAGAAAUUAAAGGAGUACCAUUUCUGGCCAAUCUUAUCUUGUUAGAAUCCAAAGACCUUGAUGUCAUCCUAGGGAUGGACUGGUUAGCCAGACAUAAAGGUGUGAUAGACUGUGCUAACAGAAAAGUAACUCUCACUAGCAAUGAUGGUCGAGUUGUAACUGUUCAUGCAAUGUCUUCUGAGUCGUUAAGGUCAAGACUGAAACAGAUAACUUUGGAAGAGAUUCCUAUAGUCCGGGAGUAUCCCGAUGUGUUCCCCGAUGAUUUGCCUGGUAUGCCGCCUAAAAGGGAUAUAGAGUUCAGAAUAGAUUUGGUACCAGGAACAACUCCGAUCCAUAAGAGACCUUAUAGAAUGGCAGCCAAUGAGUUGGCAGAAGUCAAGAGGCAAGUGGACGAUUUGCUUCAGAAAGGGUACAUCAGACCGAGUUCAUCUCCAUGGGGAGCUCCGGUUAUUUUUGUGGAAAAGAAAGAUCAUACCCAGAGGAUGUGUGUGGACUAUCGUGCACUAAAUGAUGUGACUAUCAAGAAUAAGUAUCCGCUACCCAGAAUUGAUGAUUUGUUUGAUCAGCUUAAAGGUGCCACUGUUUUCUCCAAGAUAGAUCUUCGAUCAGGGUAUCACCAGUUGAGAAUCAAAGAGGAAGAUAUACCUAAGACAGCUUUUACCACUAGGUAUGGAUUGUUCGAAUGUACUGUUAUGUCUUUUGGACUUACCAAUGCCCCUGCUUUCUUCAUGAAUUUGAUGAAUAAAGUGUUUAUGGAAUACCUAGACAAGUUCGUGGUAGUCUUUAUUGAUGAUAUUCUUAUCUACUCCCGAACCAAAGAAGAGCAUGAAGAACAUCUUCGCCUUGCACUAGAGAAGCUACGAGAACAUCAGUUGUAUGCCAAGUUUAGCAAGUGUGAAUUUUGGUUGUCUGAAGUGAAGUUCCUUGGUCACGUCAUCUCAGCAGAAGGAGUUGCCGUCGAUCCUAGUAAUGUGGAAUCCGUAACCAACUGGAAACAACCAAAGACAGUUCCAGAGAUUCGCAGUUUCCUAGGCCUCGCAGGAUAUUACCGGAGGUUUAUAGAGAAUUUUUCCAAGAUUGCUAAGCCCAUGACACGACUGCUUCAGAAAGAUGUGAAGUACAAGUGGUCGGAAGAAUGUGAGCAGAGUUUUCAAGAGUUGAAGAAUCGCUUGAUAUCAGCUCCUAUUUUGAUUUUACCUGAUCAAAAGAAGGGUUUCCAAGUGUAUUGCGAUGCAUCUAAACUUGGGUUAGGUUGUGUUCUGAUGCAAGAUGGGAAGGUGGUUGCCUAUGCAUCUCGUCAGUUACGUCCGCAUGAAAAGAACUACCCUACUCAUGAUCUUGAGUUAGCUGCAGUAGUUCAUGCGUUGAAAAUUUGGCGUCAUUAUCUUUUCGGUACUCGUACAGAGGUAUAUACCGAUCACAAGAGUUUAAAGUAUAUCUUUACUCAGCCGGAUCUGAACAUGAGACAAAGGAGAUGGUUGGAAUUAAUUAAGGAUUAUGACAUGGGAAUUCAUUAUCACCCGAGAAAGGCUAAUGUUGUAGCAGACGCUCUUAGCAGGAAAGGCUAUUGCAAUGCUACGGAAGGACGACAGUUGCCAUUGGAAUUAUGCAAGGAAUUUGAAAGAUUAAAUUUGGGAAUUGUCAGUAGAGGUUUUGUUGCAGCCUUAGAAGCGAAGCCCACUCUAAUUGAUCAAGUUAGAGAAGCCCAAAUUAAUGAUCCCGAUAUUCAAGAGAUCAAGAAGAAUAUGAGAAGAGGAAAAGCUAUCGGUUUCUUGGAGGAUGAGCACGGAGCUGUAUGGUUGGGUGAGAGAAUCUGCGUCCCCGACAACAAAGAUUUAAAAGAUGCAAUUCUGAAAGAAGCUCACGAUACUUUAUACUCUAUUCACCCUGGUAGUACUAAGAUGUACCAGGAUCUCAAGGAAAGAUUUUGGUGGGCAAGUAUGAAGCGUGAAAUCGCAGAAUACGUAGCAGUAUGUGAUGUUUGUCAGCGAGUCAAGGCAGAACAUCAGAAACCUGCCGGUUUGUUGCAGCCUUUGAAGAUUCCCGAAUGGAAAUGGGAAGAAAUCGGUAUGGAUUUUAUUACUGGUUUACCCAGAACGUCAUCGGGUCAUGACUCUAUUUGGGUGAUAGUCGACAGACUUACAAAAGUAGCUCAUUUCAUUCCGGUAAAGACAACUUAUUCCGGAAGUCGGUUGGCGGAAUUGUAUAUGGCAAGGAUCGUGUGUUUGCAUGGCGUCCCUAAGAAAAUAGUGUCUGAUCGAGGCAGUCAAUUUACUUCAAAUUUUUGGAAGAAGCUUCAGGAAGAGAUGGGUUCUAAGCUGAACUUUAGUACUGCUUAUCAUCCGCAGACAGACGGACAAACCGAAAGGGUGAAUCAGGUUUUGGAAGACAUGUUGAGAGCUUGUGCUUUAGACUUCGGUGGAAGUUGGGAUAAGAAUCUACCUUAUGCAGAAUUUUCGUACAACAACAGUUAUCAAGCUAGUCUACAGAUGGAAAUCGUUGGAUUUGAGUUCGAAUCGGAUUCGUCUCUCUCCUCCGAACCCUAAACUUUCCUUCUCGUCGCCAGCCGCCGUGGGCCUUCGCCGUCGCCUCCUAGCCCCUUUAAAAGGACCCCCGAGCUCUUCUCUACCCGCCGCCACUCUCGCCUUUGCCUCUCGUCGCCGGAAGAGCUCUAGUGCCGUGCAACCUAGCGCCGCCGUCGCCGCCGUCGCUCCAGCCGUGCGCCGCCGCCGUCUCGGUCGUCGUCAUCGCUCGGGAAGGCCACCGUCGUGAACGCCAAGUCGCCGCCGUUCUCGUCCGCUCCUUCGCCGCCGCCGAAGACCGCCGGAGUACCGUCGCCGCCGUCGACCCGAAGUUUGCCGCCGCUUCCUCCUCGUCGCCGUCGCCGUCCGUUGAUCUUCCGCUGCUCUUUUGGUCACCGGUGAGUUCGUCGCGUCGCGCUCUACCCGUUGGUGCCUUCCGUUCGCGCCGCCGUGCCGUCGUUCACCGGCGAGCAUGCAAGCCCGAGCCGCCGAGCCGUCGCCGCCGGUGGUGACGUCAUCGCUGACGUCAUCGUCGCCCUCUUCCGUGAGCCGGUCGUAGACCGAUCGAUCUCGGCCGUCCGUUUUGGAUGGAUCGAUCUCGGCCGUCCGUUCGCGUGAACCGUCGCCCGUGCGCCCGGUCCACCGAAACCCUAGCCCGCUGACGCAAUAAUCCUCCUUUUCCUUUUCAAAAAUAAUUCAUUAUUGCGUCCUAAUUCAAUUAAAAUCAAUAUAAGUGUUUUAAUCCGAUUUAAUCUUCAAAAACUCAUAACUAAUUCAUCUUAGCUCCGAUUUAGUUGGUUCAAGUCUCUAAAUUUUUCUAAAAUUGAGAUCUACAUGUUAAAAAUAUCCACAUGUACUGUUCAUGCUUGUUUAUGUGCUGUUUUGGUGAUUUUGCUCUUUUCUGUUUAGAUUCCGUCGUUUCCGGAGAGUCCGUUUUCGCAGGAGAAGAGUUUGAAGAGUUCCAAGGCCAACAAGGCAAGUCACACAGAUCCCAAACAACCCUUUGAGCAUGUUGAUCCCGUUUAAAGCUAUUGUUUCUAUUCAACUAUUGCAUUUAUUUUUGAAUGUCAUUGGGUAGAAUUAACCUAUUCUUUGUUAUAGCCCUUUUGUUCUUGAUUACUUUAUUCCUUGAUACCUUGGGUUAAUAUAACUUGACUAGUUGAGCUUUAUAUAUAUUGGUUCAACUAGAUAUUAGAUAUAAUUGCUUAGCCCUGCUUAGAAACAUUAGCUCACUAUUGGGAUAACUCUUGACUCACUGUUAGUUAAUGAUGGCUUAAUGAUAGCUCACGAUGGUCAAUCGUGAUUGGUUAAUUAAUUAAUGUGCCAACUAAAACCUGAUAAUGGUGGGUUGUGAGCACAUGGUUUUGAUGGUCGUGCUCAUGACAAUUAAGGACCGGUUCACGAGUUUCGGUUGUGAAACAUUAACCGUGCCAACCACAAGCCAGCAUGGGCAACGGCUUUAUCUUUUGUAUAGCAUGGUUCAUUGCGGAGCACCAGACUGAGAAGUGGCGGAGAUAAGCCCACGGGGGUCGCUGGGGAGUCCAUGCCUUGUUUAUAAGGGGGUGAUUAUGAUCCAGGAAAGGUGCACUGUAGUGGAUUGUGUUGUACGAGAGGUAUUGUCACAAUUCCUUUCCAAGGUACCGUGGUGGUAUUGAGGCACAUGGUGACAUGAUGUGGAGUUGUGCCUUGUGGGUACAGUGGUACACCUCUGAUCAGAGUAAAACUAUUCGAAUAGCCGUGCCCGCGGUUAUAGGUGGGUCUAACAAUGUCUUUCGUGAUUAGUUUCACACUUCUCACCAUAAUAAAAGAUGCUAUAACUGGUAAUAAUUUGUUUAGCUCCUGGUUUGGAAUGGUAUAUUCCUGGUUUGGAGAUAGAUCUGUACAGCCGGGUAUGGUUGUUCAGGAUGGUUGGGCCUGAGCUGCAUGGGUGUGCUGUUUAGUGUUGAUUAAAAUUGAUGAUUAAUUACUCUACUGUUUUAUAAUUCUCAAAUCUUUGCUAAAUGCUGCUUUUGCAAAUGAAACCCUACUAUGCCAUCCUUUGUUAUCCUGUGCACUUGCAUAUUUGCUGCGUGGCUUGCUGAAUAUGUCAUAUACUCACCUUGCAAUCAUUCAUCAGAGAAAGAGUUCUACAAUGAUGCUGAUGGUGUGAAGGAUUAGGUGUAGCCUUGGUCAAGCUGCUUGUGGAGUGGAGCCGUCUGCGCCGUUUAUUUUAUUUUCCGCUGCUUAGAUCUUUAUUGAUUGAGAGGAACUAUCUACCUCUGUAAUGACAUUUUAAUCGCUUAUUAAUUAGAGUAAUAAUUGUACUCUAUUAUCAAUUUGUUAUUGUGUGCCUCGGCUGAUUCCUGGACGAGGGUUCACACACAUGUAAGCGUUUGGAAUUUUGGAUAGAAAUUCCGGGCGUGACAGUGUCCGCCAGGUGACAUCCAAGGAGCAGGAGCAAGAGCACCAUUGUCAUGCAUGCCCCACGCGCAUGGAUGCCAUGCUUGUUUAUUCGCCGGAGUGCGUGCUGGAUACCCAUUUCCCAAACGGAAAGCCGCACAACUUGCAUGCAAUUCUUUGGUAGGGCCUUUAUGGCAUUCGCUAGACUAGACCAGGAGGAGGCGAUCAACUAGGAUGCAGGAUGUGCACCACGACUUCUUCCCCCUCCAAGCCCAACUGGCGCUCGACUCUCCUGCAACCCCCACCCACUGGGGAUGCCGCUGUUGCCGCGCUCGCACAACGUGCACGGCCGGAUUCAUUGGCCUCAACAACAUCGACCACGGCGGACGACAAGUUUGGGCCGACACCCGGUACGGCGUCGCCGAUGCAGAGCACGAGCGCGUGCACGCCGAGACCUUCGCGCUGGCACCACAGCCGCACCAGCAACACAGGCCGGCCGACCACGCGGCCCGGUUCGACAACAGCGACCCCUUCCUGGGCACCCCACAUGGCCAUCGACGUCUACGAGGCGGACGCUCUCGCCGUCGUCGAUCCCGUUAGCGGCAUCCAAGGCGUGGGGGUCCUGGUCAACCAGGAGCUCGAUCGGCGGCUCGCGCACGGUGCAAGUGCAGCAGCAGCAGCAGCCGGCGUCCAACUUCCAGGACAACAUCCUCCUCCUCAGCGGCGACCUCAUCGCGAAUGCCGGCCGCGAGGAAACCAUCGUGUACGAGGCGGAUCCGGACGCGCUCGCCGUGGACCUUGUCGACGAUCGAUCCGUUGGUGGAUGAGGUCCUCACCAUCGAUGCCGGAGAUAUGGAGGCACUAUUCGAAAUUGAUCAAUCCAAGCCGUUUUUGAGGAACACCAGGAGAAUCUGGAGCUGGAGAGGACGGAGAGGGCCAAUGUUUUAAAUAGCGGGUUAAGGCAUUUAGCAGUUAGCUUCUCAAACAGUUAUAGCGGUAGCUAUAGCGGGCUAAAUGGAGCUAUAGCGGCUAAAUUGUACAUGAGAGCAAAUAGCUAGAACCCUUCUUAAACAACUAUAGCAGGAGAUAGCAGUAGCUAUAGCGGGAGAUUUAACCCUGGAGAGGACGCUGAUGCUCUCUCAGUCCCAUCAUACUGUAAGGCUGAUGGGCGUACGUGUUUCACCCGUGAGAUCUUAUUGCCUUCUUCGUUUUUAAUGUAAGUAUCUCUUCAUCCUCUUGGUUGCGUGUUUCACCCGUGGGAUCUUGCCUUCUCAGUUUUUAAUGUAAGUAUCUCUUCGUCCUCUUGGUUUUGGUCACUGUGGUGCAUUUCAGGGGUGUUUUGGACUUGAUUGUUUCAUUGGUUGGUCUUGUGGAAUAAAUAAACAAAUUUUGCUUCUGAUUUUAUUAGACACAACAAUUAUUAUUUCAGAUUUUUUUUCAUCUAAUGUCCAUGGUUCUUGAGUGCAUGGACAAUUAAAAUUAUAUACCUGUUGCAGGCCCGGUCAUUUUGCUAGUAUAUGCACAAAUUUAAUACUACCUCCGUUUUUUAAUAUAUGACAUUAUUGACUUUUUGACAAACAUUUGAUCAUUCAUCUUAUUUAUUUUUUUUGUAAAUAUAAAUUUUUUUAAGACAUGCUUAAACAACAUUUGAUAACAUUUGAUGCUAAAUCAACUCACAAUAAAAUAAAUGAUAAUUACAUAAUAUAUCUAUUAAUUAUAAAGUUUCUAUGCGUAAACUUUUCUACAUAUAAAUAUUCUUUUUCUAGACCGGAGUAGCACGUUGAUAAAUUCAUUCUAAAUUUAUAUGUACAGAUUUCAUAGGUAUAAAAUAUGCAUUUACAUAGUUACUCGUACAGAGUAUCUAUCUAUAAAAUUUGUAUAAGUAUAAAUCGAUGUAUAAAUAUGUAUAUAAUUUCUAUAUCCUUUAGAAAAAGUAGUGGUGGUGAUAACGAAUUUGUCACCCCACCUACUUCUAUUAUAAAUUCUGCAAAUCAUCUCUUCAAAUCGCUAAUAUUUAAACAAUCAAAAUCUAAAUUGAUAUAGAGCCACAUAUAAAAUCAAACGGAUAGCCACAUGCCACAUAGUUUCUGUAGCAAAACAACGGGUAACACGUUUCAUGGGAAUUUUUGUUGUUUAUUUUGUUUUACUAGCAAAUAUACCCGUGCGUUUUAACAGGAGAUAGCUAUUGUGAUUGACCAUAUCGCAGUGUGGAAUGUAGCAUCAUUAGUUUUUACUAUUAGUUAAAAAGACAAUAGGCAAUUAUGUUCUUAACUCUGUUUUCGUUCAAUUAUGAUUUUGUCCUUGCUUUUUAACUAAAGCUCAAGUUUGCCUCCAUUUCAUCAAGAUGACUUAGCCGUGUUGUAAAUUUAACACUAUUUUUUUCUAAAGAAUUUAUGAUUGUGGUUUUGAUUUGACAAAAGUGUGUUUUGACACGAAUUUUUUGCCAGCCUGAAUUUUCAUAUAUUUUAAAUACGAAUGAACGUCGGAUCGCCAUUGCAGUGAUCAGCCUAGCGUAGUGGUCCUGAGACUCACCGUUGGCCAUGCACAUGCAGCUGAAUUUUCCCUUCAGCGUGUGCUAGCAUGUGUGGUGGACUCGCUCCGCGCUGACGAACCUUGUCUUGAGGCACUCCCACACUUGUUUCGCCGUCUUCUUCUUUGCGACCCGCAUGAGGUGAUCCUUAAUUUGGAAGCGCCUGGAGCAAGUGCGACCGGCCUCACCUUGUUGUCAAAUGCCCUAAUCUUCCAUCAUCGCCUGCACCCAGAUCACCUAGCUUGUGUAGUUGGUUGCAGUGAGUUGCGGGUAGAGGAAAGCACUCCCCGUGCUGCGUCUGUCGUAGUGACGAUCGACAUAGCUCUGUUAUCACUUGUUGCCUAGAACCUCAAUCACACCUUGCGGGCAGGGACUCUAGUUGCCCGGCAAUGCCAAAGAACAAAGAACAAAGAACUUAAUUUGGGACCAAUCUUUGUGACUUUGUGUGUUUUCUAUUGAAUGGAACAAGAGUUGCGAUACAAUUUGUGAGGAAUAAUGUUUCCUCUCCUUUUUGUAGCAAAGUCUAAAAUCAGAAUCCAGCACACGUGCAUGCACACUAGCUCGAUUAAUCUGAAAAUUCGGAACACCACGCACACACGCUCUGAUCGCGCUCCCAGCAUCUAGCUCGCUCCAAUCCUGUUAUAUAUAUUCCGUUUUCCCUGGUUUCUUAACAGUGAAUCCGACUCGGACUUCUUGAUCGAUCGUCUCUUUUCUCGACGUACGCACGUACACAGACCGAAUCGGAUUAAUUAUUUGUGGGCGAGCACUGUCUAUAUAUAUAUCACUCCGGUGGCCCAAGCGAGCGAGCCGACAAGCCUAACUUGCCACAGAUCGAUCUCUAGCUGGAUUUUUCAACGAAAACCCCUCGCUGACCUCACGCCGCGCGCAGCCGUCGUACGUACGUCGUCGUACUCGAUCGUCUUCGACGACGGCAAUGGCCGACCCGCCGCCGCCGCACCAUCCGCCGUGCGCCGCGUGCGCGCACCAGGGCCGGCCCAGCUGCCCGGCGGGCUGCCCGCUGGCGCCCUACUUCCCGGCCGACCGGCCGGAGCGCUUCGAGUACGCGAACCUCCUCUUCGGCGUGGACGGCAUCCUCCGCCGGCUGGAGGCGGCCGGCCCGGACACCGUGACCCGGCUCGCCACCAUGGCGUCCAUCGUCUUCGUGUCGGACGCGAGGGCCGCCGAUCCCGUGCACGGCGCCUACGGCGUCAUAAGGAACCUCCAGCAGGAGCUCGCCAGCGUCAAGGCCGAGAUCGCCGCCAUCCGGCAGAAGCAGCAGCAAGCCCAGCAGCCGCCGCCGGCGCUGGAGGACCCCCCCCCCCCCCCGGUCAUUUUUUUCUCUUCUCCUCUCUAGUGUAGAGGAGAGAGAUGUGCAACAUUUUUUUUAUUUUCUUCAUACUUAGGAGCACGUAGGAACCAACCAUGUAAAAAAUAAACUUAAAUGGACGGAUUUUUCCAAAGCCCUACCAAAAUAGGCGUCAUUCAAGUGUCAUUUCUUAAAAUAGGCGUAACUUUCUCAUACGGACUCGAAAUCAGGCAAAUAGUAUAUCUACGGACAUCUACAGAAAAAAUAUAUCCGAAGGAGAAAAUUUUGUUUAGUUAUUUUCAAAUGGUGGGCAUUAUUGCUAGUAUGUUCUAAAAAGGGUUUAAUUUUAAAAUUAUUUAAAUUGAAAAACUGCGCCGCCAUGGACAGAUCAACGCGCGCGGACGAUCCCCGGUGGGGGACACCUCCCCAACAACCCGGAGUACCCCUGUCCCCCAGCCUAACAACUUGUUGGGCUGGACUGGGCUUGGCUGGGCUUCCUGGGCUGUCCGAAUUAUAAUCAAAACUUUUUUUUCCUUUCUUGAGAGAAGAGAAAAAGACUACAACCCUUCUCGUCUCCCCCUUCCCUCGCCUCGCCAUUGCCGCCGGCGAAAUUUUCGCCUCCUUUCGCCAUCGCCUCCGAACCUCCCCAAAAUUUUUGCCGCCGUCACCACAGCUCUACUGAAAAUAGGCGUCAUUCGGGUGUCAUUUCUUAAAAUAGGCGUAACUUUCUCAUACAGACUCGAAAUCAGGCAAAUAAUAUAUUCACGGACAUGUACAGAAAAAGUUACAUUCGAAGGAGAUAACUUUGUUUAGUUAUUUUCAAAUGGUGGGCAUUACUGCUAGUAAUUUCUAAAAAGGAUUUAUUUUUAAAAUUAUUUAAAUUCAAAAAUCGCGCUGCCAUGGACAGUGCAACGAGCACGGACGAUCCCCGGUGGGGGACACCUCUCCAACAACCAGGAGUACCCCUGUCGCCUGGCCUAACAACUUGUUGGGCUGGACUGGGCUGGGCUGGGCUGGUCUUCCUGGGCCGUCUGAAUUAUCCACAAAACUUGUUUUCCCUUUCUUCAGACAAAGAGAAAAAGCCUAGAACCCUUCUCGUCUCCCCCUACCCUCGCCUCGCCGUCGCCGCCGGCGAAAUUUUUUCCUCCGCUCGCCGUCGCCUCCGAACCUCCUGCACCGACCCUUCGUUCCGCACAGAUACUCCUCCCACCCACCCACCCCUAGGUGCUUGGUUGGUUGGGAGUCGGGGAUCUCGUGGAAGCAGAUGCGGCGCGGCGGCGGCGCGGGGGAUUAGGGCUUUCUGCCCAAUGGCGUGGCGGUGAGUUCUUUAGCAUGUACGUUCGGCUUGUCUCUUUCCUCCGUGCGCUCCUCCUCUCACUCGCGCGCGCAUGCGGUCGUGAUGAUGAUAAACUUGGGAUUAGUGACCUUAGCAAAUUGCGCUUCACGAGGGUGCCUAUAAAUGUAUUGGAAACGCUGCAUGCUAUGCCCGAUUAGUUUGAUGUUCUUUGAUCCAACCAACGGUGAUCCUGUUUAUGUUUGAUUCUUGAGGCUUUAGACUAAUCGAUUUGAAGCAGAAAUGCCUCUUCGUUUCAUUUCACGGUCCUCUAUCUCCAACGGGAUGGCACCAGGCUCUCUGGCACCGUCCUCCUGCCGACGUGGCGGGGCCGUGCUGAGGUGGCAGGGGGAGCACGCCAGCCACAUUGGCGUCCCCCUUCCCCGCCAUUUUUUUCCUGUCUUCUCCUCUCUAGUGUAGAGGAGAGAGAUGUGCAACAUUUUCAUUUUUAUUUUAUUUUUUUCACACUUAGGAGCAUAUAAGAACCAACCAUGGAAAAAGUAAACUCAAAUGGACGAAAUAUGUGACUUGUAGAUUUUUCCAAAGCUCUACCGAAAACAGGCGUCAUUCGGGUGUCAUUUUUAAAAUAGGCGUAACUUUCUCAUACGGACUCAGAAUCAGGCAAAUAAUAUAUCCACGGAUAUCUACAGAAAAAGUUACAUCGAAGGAGAUAAUUUUUUUUUAGUAAUUUUCAAAUGGUGGGCAUUAUUGCUAGUAAGUUCUAAAAAGGGUUUAUUUUUAAAAUUAUUUAAAUUGAAAAAUCGCGCCGCCAUGGAAAGUGCAAUGCGCGCGGAUGAUCCGCGGCGGGGGACACCUCCCCAACAACCUGGAGUACCCCCGUUCCCCGGCCUAAUGUAACAUCCUGAAAAUUCCCGACAAUAAAAAUCACUAAAAUUUCAAACUUUUUAAAACUUUUGCAUCAUACUGGUUGUUAUGAUUGCUAUUGCUUGCCAAACCUUAAAUAAUCACAAAGAAAGCAAAUCCAAACAAAGGGAAGGUUAAUUACUAAUUUAAUUUAUAGAUCAAAUAUUAAAUAUUCGAACCAUGCUGAUAGCUUGAUGCCAUGAUUAGCUAAAAGAAACAGUAAAAUCAAAUCUAAUUCAUAUGAAUCCAAUCUCACAUGAAAUAUAGGAACACAUGAAAUGAUGAUCACCACUAUAAUGAUCGUGUUUAUAAAUAAGUAAUUCACCGGAAUAUAUAGAUUGAUACUUAGACCAUUUCAUCGAGUUCUUCAUGACGUGAAAAUCACUCAUAUAAAAUAAUGGUCAUAUAAAUGAAUUAAGCUUUAUAUAUAAAUAAGACUAUGUGAGUGUUUAAUUAAACAAUUAGAUUAAUGUUGUACCGAGUAUUUAUAGAAUGACUAGAUCCACGUAAAAUACAUUGUUAUACAAAUAAGUUCAUUCAAUGUGCUAUUGUAAUAAUAAUGGCCACAUUAGGAUAUUUUAAUUAAUUUUGGAACCCUCAAAGCCUCCAAAAUUAUCUAGGUUAAAUUUUGGAAUUAGACCUCAUUUAAAUAAUGCAAUAGAAAAAUAUAUAAAUAAAUAAAUAUGGGUAAUAAUUUUGGAUAAAUUUUCAUGAGGAUUUAGUGCUUAAAUUUAGUUAACAUAUAACUAAGUAAAAUUAGAGUUUAUAGGAUUACAAUUGUAUAGGAGAUAGGCUAAAAUAGGGUUUAAUUAGGGAUAUCACUAUUCAUUGCACAUGAGGUGUUUGAUGGAGUUCCUAGCCACCCUAGCCCUCUUCCUCCCCCUGCCCGCACCGCGCCUAGCUCGCCAUCACCCCAUCGCGCGCCCACCUCGAGCCCCGCCCGCGCUGCCGCACCGCACCUUGGCCGUGCCGUCGCCGCUACCGCGCGCCGCGCGCGUCAUGUCGCCGUCGCCGCGCCGCCAAGCCAUGUGCCGCUGCUGCGCCGCCGUCCCGUCGCCUCGCGCCCCGCGCCGCGCCGCCCGCCGUUGCGUCGCCGCUGCCGCCUGUCGCGCGUCGCCACGCGCCGUCGCCGUCGCCGACGCGUCCCGUCGUCGCUCCGAGCCGCGCACCGCCGCUGCCGCGCCGCGCGUGCCGCUCGUCUCGAGCCCCUCCCCUCCGCGCGCGCUGUCGCCGUCGCUCCCGCGUCGCGCCCCGUGCCGCGCCGCCUCGCGCCCCUGCCGCGCCGCGCGCGCCGCUGUCGACCGUCCCGUUGCCAUCGCGCCCCAUGCCGCCGCGCACGUCCCAUCCGCCAUCACUGCACCGGCCACCUCUCCCCUCCGCCCCUAUAUAAACCCAUGCCUCCCCUUCCCUCCCCACACCUCCCAGCCCCCACGAGCUCGUCCUUCCCUCUCUUCCUUUUCUUUUUCCUCAGAUACAUUUCGUCGAACACCUUGUGGGCGUGCUUCAUUUUCCUCUCUACUCCGCCACCGCGACAUCGAGCAUCACCGUCCCGCCGUCUCUCGGUAAGUCCUCACUCCCAUGACUCCUCCUAAUCCUCUAGGAACUACCUCCCCCAACUAUUUCAUCGAUUAGGGCCAUAAUCGUGACAAGCCCGAGCUCCGAAGCUCCGCCCGUGGAGGUCACCGUGGACAUGCCAUCCGGGGGGGCUCUCCCUUCGAUUUUUCUGGAAAAACGGAACCCUCAUGCGCCAUAGAUGCUCACGCCCUCACCAAUUUGGUCGCAAACCAUUCCGUUCACCAUAGCUGCUUGCAGCCAAGCUCGGUCAUGACGUUGCCGUGCCGCAACGCUCGCCCCUGCUCCGCCUUGCGCCGCCGCCGCCGGUGGAGGGCCGCCUGAGCUCCUCCGCACAUCCCCUGGACGCCGCCGUGCCGCCCCGGCCCCGUGCCCGUCGCGCCCAGCCGUGCCCUGGUGCUGCCUCCCGAUGGCUGGAGGAAGAAGACGAUAGGAAAAGAACGAGAGAGAGAAAGAGAGCAGCCGAGCCACUGACAAGACGGGCCCACUCCCUAUUUUUCUCUAACAAAAAUAAUUCGGUAGAAAAGAUAAUAAAACCCCUGACCCCACCCGUCAGUGACUCUGAUAGGUUCCGGAUUAAAAUAAAUCCGCUAUGAACAGUACUGUUUCGCAAUUAUUCAAAUUUGAAUCUUUACACUAGCAUAACUUAUUCAUUUUAACUCGGAUUUGAGUGAAACUUGAACCUAAAUUUAUCUAAAUUCAUAAGCUUUCCAAUGGUAUAUAAUUCACUAUUUGAUAAAAUACAUUUAUUAAAUAAUUAAUACUAAGAUAAUGCAUAAUAGUUAAAAAUGUGCUAAUAAAUAAAAUUGAUAUUGUACUAUAAAGUAGAUGUCAAAUAAUUGUCUUUAACACGCUUUUUCACUGUAAAACCUAUGUAAACUAAUUAGGAGCAUUGUUUCAAAUUAAUUAAAGCAUAGGAAAUACUAGUGCCAUUUAUUAAUAUAUGUCAAUAUAUAAUUAUACUCCUGACGUCCAAAUUGUAUAAAUAAUGUUUAGCCUUGUACUUUGUGACUAAAAGUUGAACACACGUAGAUGAGUCUUUAACUUGUUUAUGAGAGAUAAUAACAGAGCUAGUGUGACUAAAAUCACCCGCACGAAAUUAAUUAACGGUAUUCCCUAUACAGUAGUAUAUGUUUAGGUUGGAAAUCGACCCUUAAGUUGUAUAGACGGUAACUCACUCAUAAAUCCACUUAAAAUCACAUGUACUGCGUAGCUCGUAGUAAAUAGCAACUAUUCAAAUAAAUGAUUCAAUAUUAAGAUAUUGUGCACACACCUAUACUGUACAUCCCAUUAUAGCUAUGCGGUAUAGUAUUAAUUUGCUUAUUGCAUACAUUAAAUUGGAGGGACUAUAUGACAAACAUGAAUAUUAGAUAAAUACUAGUUAUAAAUCUUGAUCUCAUAUAAUUAUAGUUCAAUUGCAAAUUAGGAUUAUUCAUUGUAAAAUUAUGUGAUGGGAUAAUCUGUAACCAUAAUAUGAUUAACCUAAACAACUAUAACAUACAAAGCAUGGAUAAUUAUUAACCUUUUCUAAUUUAUUGUGACAAGUAAAAUAUUUUCAUAAUUAAAGCAAAGCCUCCAUCAAUAAAAUAAUAAUACAAAUGGUCCCCUGCGAUUAAUUGCUUGAUCCCAAAUCCAUCUAACAACAGAACCUCCGGUAUGUAACCGUGCUAUUUAGAUAGAUGUAUAUAUAGCCAUAAUCCUUCCAUAGCCAUUUGAUAGAAUAAACCGCCGAUUAGCUAAAUAUAUAUGUAUCCCAUAAAUGCUAUGUUGGUUAACUCCUAGAUAGAUCACGAUGACAAUAGAAAGAUUAAGAAGCCUUAGCCCUAGCAUGAUUGAAAUCCAUUAGCAAAACGCGAAUAGUAUGAGCAACCCUAGGAUCGACCCCAACAAUUAUCUUUUGCUUGUGCAUAUUUGCUUGUUGUUUAAAUAUUGGUUUUUCUCGCGUAUUAUAGACCUUGUGUAUCGGUUAGUCGUGAGGCAACAUCUGCAACUUCCAGGAGGUGAAGGUUGAUCAAGAUUAUAUCAAGAAUAAGGACUAUCCUGAGCAGGCAAGUCAUCACUAUUCCUUGAACAUGUUGAUCCCAAUUGCGAAAUUGUUUUGUUUACAAAUAAAAUUGCAUGUAAUUAUGAACAUCCUACUUGUAAUUAUGCCAUGCCUUGAUUAUUGUUUACCCCUUAUUCCUUCGUAACCAUGUUUACGUAUGAGUCUCUAGUCAAUUAUGACAAUUGCUUAGAAAUGCUAUUCUAGAAUCAUGCAUACUCACAUUUAUCAAAUGCUAUAUGCUUGGGCAAUUACCUUUGGGAAGGUAAUUGAGAUGCGGCAUGUGGAGACAUGAGUGCCACAUUGCCAUGAUAUUGAUGACAUGAUUUGUGAAAGGAAAAUAAAGUUAAACAACUGUUUUCGACUGGGGCGGCUGGAGGAUUUGGGUGGUGUCCGGAAAAGGCUAGUGUCGUCCCUGGUCAAUUAAGGACCGAGCCAUGAAGUUAAGCAUGAAACAACCCCCCGUACAACCGCACUUCUCGUAUGGGUAUAGACCUAGCGGAGUAGAUAGCUGAGCGGAGGCAGUAUCCAUGCGUAGUGGUCUUCUUUUAGGUGUGUGAUGUGGCAAGCAGUCUGCUGGCGGAUGCCCGGUUCGGAUGGCCAGGUGGAUGGCGGAUGCCCGUUCCGGAUGGUCAGAGGCUGGCUUGGCAAUACUACAUGAGGAUACCCAUAAGAGAACAAUCAUGAUGGACUGGGUUCAACGACAAGAAGCAACGUAGGAGUGUGUGUGUGUUUUUCCCUUCCCGGGAGCGCCAGAACUCCUCUCACUGCUAGAAACGUAUGACGCCUAGAGUGCAUGAGGAUGUAAAGUUCAUGGAGCGGGUACUGCCAAUGCGAGGUUAUCGAAAAGCUUUGCCAUGACGCGUCUCAUGUGUUGGGACGAGGCUCAUGUGUUGGGCAGUCGCGGAGUGCGGGUAAAGUGUACAUCCACUGCAGUGUGAGUAAACCAAAUCUAUUCGAAUAGCCGUGCUGGCGGUUAUUGAGCACCGGGACGUGUAUUACACUUGGCUAGACUCUAAAUUCUUAACUUGUGUGGGAUGGGAUAUUGCAUGAUGAUUUUUAUGCUGUUGGAGCCACUUCCUGAGAGGCGGGAAGGUGGACGUCCUCAAAAAACAUGACGACUCAAUGGCGGGAAGCUAUCCUUGGGAUCACAAUGGAUGGUGGACAGAACCGUCAUUGUUUAAAUAUGAACACUGGUACUAAAAUUUGGUCAGUCUAUGCUAGGUCUUAGGCUUGUGAAAAGAAUUGCAAAACUAGCUUUAUGCAAAAGAACCUAAAGUCAUUCCUUGAAAUACCCUCUAUCAUAGGCAUCGUUGCUGUGGUGGCUUGCUGAGUAUGGUUGGUACUCACCCUUGCUAUUUAUAUAUCUUUUAGGAGAGUGUUGAAGAGAAGCCCUUGUCGGUACGCUUGCGUAUCCAACAAGAUGAUCGGAGUGCGGUCUUGUUCUAGGUCUCGUUCCCCAAUCGACUGCCUGUGGCAUGUUAACCGGGCCCUUAUAUUAUUUUGUCUUCCGCUGUUGUUCUCUGAUAGUUGUUGGCCUACCUGGCCCUAAUGUAAGUAUUUAACUCUUUUAGCCUGAAUUCAUUCAUGAUAUGUUGUGAUCCAACUAUGUAUGUGUGUACCAACUAUUGAUCCAGGGAUAGGUACGGAUAAACACAGAAGAUUUCCGAUUUCGAAAAUCGGGGGUCCACACCUAACAACUUGUUGGGCUAGGCUGGGCUUCCUGGGCUAUCCGAAUUAUCCACAAAACUUAUUUUUUCCCUUUCUCGGGGGAAGACAAAAAGCCUAGAGCCCUUCUCGUCUCCCCCUCCCCUCGCCUCGCUGUCACCGCCGGUGAAAUUUUCGCCUCCGCUCACCGUCGCCUCCGAACCUCCCGCGCCAACCGUUUGCGGCCUAACAACUUGUUGGGCUGGGCUGGGCUGGGCUUCCUGGGUCGUCCGAAUUAUCCUCAAAACUUAUUUUUUUUCCCUUUCUCGGGAGAAGACAAAAAGCCUAGAACCCAUCUCGUCUCCCCCUCCCCUCGCCUCCGAACCUCCCCCGCUUACCGUUCGCUCCACACAGAUACUCCUCCCACCCACCCACAACAGGUGCUUGGUUGGUUGGGAGUCGGGGAUCACGUGGAAGCGGCUGCGACGCGGCAGCGGUGUGGGGGAUUUUGGCUUCCUGCCCAAUUGCGUUGCGGCGCGUUCUUUGGCAGGUGCAUUCGGCUUGUCUCUUUCCUCCGCACGCUCCUCCUCUUGCUUGCAUGCGCGUGCGCGUGCGGGGGCGGUGCGUAGUUUAAUUGGUGGACUCGAUCAAUCUUAGCGAUGUGGUGGGGUUUUAGGUGGUGUGUUUUGAUGGUUGCGGUCAUGAUGAUGAUAAACUUGGGAGGAGUGACCUUAGCAAUUUGCGUUUCACGAGGGUGCCUAUAAAUGUAUUGGAAACGCUGCAUGCUCUGCCCGAUUAGUUUGAUGUUCUUUGAUCCAACCAGCGGUGAUCCUGUUUAUGUUUGAUUCUUGAGGCUUUAGACUAAUCGAUUUGAAGCAGAAAUGCCUCUUCGUUUCAUUUCACGGUCCUCUAUCUCCAACAGGACGGCACCAGGUUCUCUGGCGUCAUCCUCCUGCUGACGUGGCGGGGCGGUGCUGAGGUGGCGGGGGGAGCGCACCAGCCACAUUGUCGUCCCCCUUCCUCGCCGUUUUUUUCCGCCUUCUCCUCUCUAGUGUAUAGGAGAGAGAUGUGCAACAUUUUUAUUUUUAUUUUAUUUGUGACUUGUAGGUUUUUCUAAAGCUCUACCGAAAAUAGGCGUCAUUCGGGUGUCAUUUCUUAAAAUAGGCGUAACUUUCUCAUACGGACUCGGAAUCAGGCAAAUAAUAUAUCCACGGACAUCUAUAGAAAAAGUUACAUCCGAUUCUUCUUAGCCUUGUCGGGUUUGGAUAAAUUAUAACCUCUAAAUUCCACUUACAAGAUUGUGUUUUCGAGGUGAUGAGCUUUUCGGUAGAGCUUUGAAAAAUUCUACAUGUCAUAUAUUUCAUCCAUUUGAGUUAAACUUUUCUAUGGUUAGUUCUUGUGGGUUCCUAAGUGUGAAAAAAUAUCAGAAAAAUAAAAAUAAAAUAAACAAGUUGCACAUCUCUCUCAUCUACACUAGAUAGGAGAGGAGUGGAUAAAUUCUACAAGUCACAUAUUUCGUCCAUUCAAGUUUAUUUUUUCUAUGGUUGGUUCUUGUAUGCUCCUAAGCGUGAAAAAAAUAUCAAAAAAAUAAAAGAAAAAUAAAAAAAUAGGGGAGAGGGGGCGCUAGCCACAUUGGCGCGCUCCCCCUGCCACCUCAGCGCUGACCCGCCACGGUGGCAGGAGGACGGCGCCAGCCGCUGUCCCGUUGGAUGACGGUGCCAACGACUCUAGUGCUCAAAAAGAACCAUUUUUAGAUAAGUUUUUCAGGGAUCUAUUUCCGAAAUAAGUUUUUUAAAAGGACUAAAUUGUGAAAAAUCCAUGGAUAACCCGCAGGUUAAUAACUGGCAUGUAGUCUUCCAUGUACUAAAUAUAUGCCUAGAUAAAUUGGUGCAUUCCUCCUUUUUCUUUCCCAGCAUUAAUAAAAGCUAUCAAAAUUGGCAUAAUUUUAUUAUAAUUUAUUGUAAUGUUUUUCUGUAUGCAGCACCACCGCUUUCAACUCGGGAUAGAAACCAAUAAAAACCUGAAAGAUGUCUUCCCUAGUAAGGAAACCCGACACCCGAUGAAAACAGACAUGGGCUCCGACAGAGCCCAAACUUUGGCAUUUUUUUCUAUUUUGAUCCUAAGUGGUAAAUUUGGGUGUAAACAGACACAUAUGCGAAAGUGGCAAAUAAAAUUAAAGAAUCCAUCUCACUCCAAUGACAAAUUUAUAAGUCCAAACCUAAAAGAAAUAUUUGGCUAAUUGACAAACGUAAAAUUGGCAGAUAGUUAAAUCCCCUUCCCCCCUCCCCCUCCCCCGCCGCCGCCCUCACACAGGGGUCUUAGUUUUCCUUGUGGGUUUGGGAUCUCAUCGAGGCGGCGGCGGCGGGAUUCCGGCCGAUGGCGUGGAGGCGCGUCCUUUCGCAGGUGCGUUUUUCUUCCGGCCUUUCUCCCUCCUUUUGUCCGCUGCGCGUCUCUCCUCGCCUCGUGGGUUGUGGUCGGGGAGGAGGACUCGAUCUUGCGCGGUGGGCGCGGGGAGGCGGGGGAGUUGGUGUCGUCUCCUGUUAAGAGUAGUAAUCUUGGGAGAUGUUCGCGUGGGUGCCCGUAUUGGAUGGAAGGGUUAGAUGCUCCGCGCCGCGAUUAAGCUGGCUGUUUCUUGACCUGGAUUAGCGUGAUCCUGUUCGUGCUGGAUGCUUUGUGGUUUUAGACUAAUCCGUUAAAAACAGCAACGCAACCUUGUUUUCAUGGUUUGGCGUUCUUUCGCGUAGUCUAAUUGGGGGACUCGAUCGAUCUUAGCGAUGGGCUGGGUUUUAGGUGGUGUGUUUUGAUGGUUGCGGUCGUGAUGAUGAUAAACUUGGGAGUAGUGACCUCGGCAAACUGAGCCUUCACGCGGGUGCCUAUAAAUGUAUUGGAACGCUGCAUGCUCUGCCCGAUUAGUUUGAUGUUCUUUGAUCCAACCAGUGGUGAUCCUGUUUAUGUUUGAUUCUUGAGGCUUUAGACUAAUCGAUUUGAAGCAGAAAAGGCCUCUUCAUUUCAUUUCACGGUCCUCUAUCUUGGUGUGUUAGCUUGUUGUUGUAGGCAUGCGUUUUGUGGAAAAAGCUAAUUUGAGCAUAUCGGUGCUGCAAUGAUUUGCUUUAUUGCACUGUAUUUUCUGUUUCUCUUCUAGUUUUUAUAUGCAUUACAUUAAAUGAGUAUCCGUGCUGCAAUGAUUUGGUUUAUGACGCAAGGUUGCUUCUUUUCUUUUUUCAUAAAAGCUUGCGAGGAGUCGACCAGCAUCCACAAUCUACAAUGAACUGAUAACCUCCAGACCUUCGUGGCUGCUUAGAGGUGACGUCAACGGUGGUAUGUAGUCUUUGUAUAAAGCUCAACCAUUCUAGUCAUGCAGUAACACUAUCCUGCAACAGCAACCUUCUAAAAUUAUGGUACAUAAGAGGUUAUGUCUAACUUGAAUAACUGGCAUGUAGUCUUCCAUGUAAAUAUAUGCCUUGAUAAAUUGGUGCAUUCCUCCUUUUUCUUUCCCCUUUCCUGUGCUUUAAGAAAAGCUAUCGGAAUUGGCAUAAUUUUGUUAUAAUUUAUUAUAAUGUUUUUCUGUACGCAGCACCACCACUUCCAUUUAUGCUUGUUGUGGAAUAAUUUCUUUGCACUUCCUUUAUUGAGUUGUGCUUAAUGCAGGUGGCACACUUAAAAACUUAAAUGAGAGGUAUCAGUCAAGCUUUGUUGGUAGCUUAGCACGCAGGGUGCAAAACCUCGACGUUCCAAGUGAAGCCUCUCUGCUGAAAGAAAUAUAUAAAAGUGACCCAGAACGUGUCAUACAAAUAUUUGAAAGCCAGCCAUGGUUGCACUCCAAUCGUUUAGCACUUUCAGAGUAUGUUAAAGCUCUUGUCAAGGUUGAUAGGCUGGAUGAUAGCACCUUGCUUAAAACACUACGGAGAGGUACCGAUAUCCACAAACACCUUAUCUAUUUCACGGCUAUGAAGCAUUACAUCUGCUGCUUUUGUUGGGCUAUAUUAGUUUUCCUUAAUUAAACAGUGAAGGGUUUAAUCAGUUUGGAAAGCACUUGUAUUUAAUGGUGCUAACUAACAAAUUCUUUGUGGAUGUGACUUAUUACAAGUAUAAUCUUUCAGUUUGUCAUUAAGUAGUACAAGGGAAUUACAGGAUAUUAUAACAGUAAACAAUUCUCUAUAUGAUAGCAUAUAGAUGUUGCCUCGAAACCUUCAUCUCGUGUAGUGUGAUUUGUAUAUCUCCAUGGCCCAUGGAAAGAAAUUACAACAUAUAUAGCAUAUAACAAAUUCAUAGAUGUUCGUCCUGACGUACCAUAUAGAUUUUGCCUUGAAGAAACUAUCAGACUCUACUUUAGUUCCUAUUACUUUAACUUGUAGUUCUUCAUGGCCUGUAACCUUGUAGUAUCUUAAUUUUUGGUCAUUGGCUUUUACAAUAGUGGCAUAAAUCAUAAUCUUGCGCUACAUGUUCUGUACUUACAAUGGCAAUCCUAUUUUUCUCUUUGGUAUUUGAUUUUGUCUUCUCGAGUUUGGGUUCAGAGAAACCUAUUUGUUGUACAUGUUGAGAGUAUCUUGUAUGCCAUUGACUAAACUACUUUUACUUUGAAGCCUGUGUAUGUUUCCUUCAGUUAUUAAUGGUGACUAUUUGAUUAAACUGGCAUAAAGCUUCAUUGAUGUGUUAUCCGUACAGGUAUGGCUGUUUCAGGAGGAGAGGGAGAAAGAGUUGGUAGCUCUUCUGCAUUAAAGAGUGCUGGACAAGCGACAAAAGAUGGAAUUCUUGGCACUGCAAACGCACCCAUUCACAUGGUGACAUCAGAAACAGGCCAUUUUAAGGAUCAGAUUUGGCGUACCUUUCGAAGCCUUGCACUAACUUUCCUUGUAAUUUCGGGCAUUGGGGCUCUUAUAGAGGAUAGAGGAAUAAGCAAAGGUUUGGUUUUCUGAAAUAUCUGAAUGACUAAUUUUCUAGACCUUUACUGGACUUCUUUGCUGUGAUUCUGAUCGAUGAAAUUUGUGUAGGUCUUGGUCUAAGUCAAGAAGUUCAACCAAUCAUGGAUUCUAAAACAAAAUUCAGUGAUGUAAAGGGUGUUGAUGAAGCCAAAGCUGAACUUGAGGAAAUAGUUCACUAUCUUCGAGAUCCCAAGGUAAUUGUUUCUGGACACCUGUUGUGAAAGAUGGUAAAAUUUGUCUGGCUGCUUGGAUACAGAGUUAUGUCAAUUUAUACGAUGUGUCUUAAAGGGUAUAUUUCCUCACUUGACAAUGGUUUUAACAGUUACUUAUUUUUAGUAAUAAACAUUAAUAUGAGGUAAUUUCACAAAAACCACAUGCUUAUAGUCCAAGUUGCAGAAACCUCUGUAGGUUUAACACUUGGCACUUAAUCACUAUAAAUUUCAUAAAAGUGCAGUCUUAACAAAUUUAGCUAUUUUUGCACGUGUGGUCCAUCUGCAAGCUGGCCUGGAUUAUUCUUUUCCAUGCUAUGAUGUAAACUGUUCUGCAGGAGAUUCAUCUGAAAUGUUGUUUUUCUGAAUCUUGAGGUGUUGAUUUUGUUGAUAGUAUCAAUGUCCUGGUCCAUUCAAAACUUUUGCUUGAUUUUGUUGAUAGUAUCCAGCUUGUUUAUCCUAUUAUCUGGGUCCUAUAACUUUGACUUGGCACUAUCAAGUGCAUGGCUUUUUCAAUUGCUUUCUUAAAUCAAUGUUUUGUGAUUUAGACCAUAUCUGUGGAGAUAAUAUCGUGUUAUGUCAGUCUCUCACAGAUAUGUUGUGCACUUUAAUGCAUAUAUGAUCUAUCAUUUCAUAACUGUUUUUGUCAUAUACUUGUGCUAUAUGGUGAUCAGAAGUCACAAGCUGCCUCCUUCUUUUCAGCGUUUUACUCAUCUUGGUGGAAAACUGCCAAAAGGUGUCUUGCUGGUUGGCCCUCCUGGCACUGGGAAGACCAUGUUAGCGAGGGCUGUUGCUGGGGAAGCUGGUGUCCCUUUCUUCUCAUGCAGCGGUAGUGAGUUUGAGGAGAUGUUUGUAGGUGUAGGAGCUAGAAGAGUCAGGGACCUUUUUGCUGCAGCUAAAAAACGUUCUCCCUGUAUCAUAUUCAUGGAUGAAAUUGAUGCAAUCGGUGGGAGCAGAAAUCCAAAGGAUCAACAGUACAUGAGGAUGACCUUGAACCAGUUGCUUGUCGAACUGGAUGGCUUUAAGCAGAAUGAGGGAAUAAUUGUCAUUGCUGCGACCAACUUUCCUCAGUCCCUAGAUAAAGCACUAGUGAGACCUGGGCGCUUUGACCGGCAUAUUGUUGUUCCGAAUCCUGAUGUUGAAGGCCGGCGGCAAAUCCUAGAGUCCCAUAUGUUGAAGGUAAUUCUUGAGAACUUUUGGUAUCAUGUUUGUCCAGGCUAAAAUGGAAUGUCUUAUAGUUAUCCUUAUACACAUAUGAUUACAGGUCUUGAAGAGUGAUGAUGUGGAUUUGAUGAUCAUUGCCAGGGGAACACCUGGAUUCUCAGGUGCAGACCUUGCUAACUUGGUAAAUGUGGCUGCUCUUAAGGCUGCCAUGGAUGGGGCAAAAGCCGUUACAAUGAAUGACCUUGAGUAUGCCAAGGACCGGAUCAUGAUGGGCAGUGAGCGCAAGUCAGCAGUUAUUUCUGAUGAAUCCCGGAAAUUGACGGCGUACCAUGAGGGAGGGCACGCCCUUGUUGCCAUCCACACUGAAGGUGCUCGCCCUGUCCACAAAGCCACCAUAGUGCCCAGGGGAAGGACCCUUGGGAUGGUGUCCCAACUCCCAGAAAAAGAUGAGACAAGCUUCUCACGGAAACAGAUGCUGGCAUGGCUGGAUGUCUCCAUGGCAGGACGGGUGGCGGAGGAGCUUAUUUUUGGGGAUAGCGAGGUAACAUCCGGUGCAUCGUCUGAUUUCCAGAACGCGACCAAAAUGGCAAGAGCAAUGGUUACGAAAUAUGGCAUGAGCAAGCAGCUUGGCUUUGUCUCUUACAAUUAUGAGGAUGAUGGAAAGAGCAUGAGCACAGAAACAAGGCUUCUGAUUGAGCAGGAGGUGAAGAGCCUGCUGGAGAAUGCCUACAACAAUGCAAAGACCAUCCUCACAAAACACAGCAAGGAGCACCAUGUUCUAGCCCAAGCACUUCUUGAGCACGAGACUCUCACCGGAGCCCAGAUAAAGAAGAUCUUGGCCCAGGCAAAUAGCACACAGCAGCAGCAGGAGCAUGCUGUUGAAGCUCCACGGAAGACGCCAGCUGCGCCGUCGUCUCCAGCUGCGUCGGCGGCCGCAGCGGCGGCGGCGACGGCGGCCGCCGCAGCAAAACAAGCUGCGGCGAAAGCCAAGGGUGUUGCUGGUAUUGGAUCUUGAGCGCAUGGAACAUCCACCGAUUGGCAGCAUAGGAGUACAAUCUAAGUAGCAGCUAAGGUAGGAGAUUUGAGCAAAAUGUGUAGUGUUCACCUGCUCUUCUGCGCAAGAAAUGUCUUUUGGUACGUUCUCACCAGGUCAGAGCUGUUUUGUUGCUGGAGACCUUCCCUUCCAGGCUCCAGCGAGGGGCCUAUGUAGUGUUGAUAUAUUGUAGUAAUAAUUUGAUAGCUAACCGUAGUCCAUGUCCUUUGUUUAUUUAUCUUUAUUUAAGAAACUGACGACUAUUAAAAAUAGAGGGGACAUAGGACCAAUAUUCAGGAAAUAUUAUUAAGGUUCAGGCAAUUAUAUUGGACUAGUCUAGGGUCGCACGUAUAAUUCGAGUUAAAUUAUCGGUUGAUCGAUUGUUCAGUACUUCAGUUGAUCAUGUAUAUGAAACACUUGCUAAAACGGGGUCCCAAAUUAUCAAAGCAUUGGAAUUUUUUUUGAAAAAAACAAGAAACAAAUUUAAUGUAUAAACUGUAGCACAAAAUAAUUAACGAAAUAUCGUAAGACCACAAGUGCAACAUUCCACAAAAAAGAUGGAGAAAAGUACUACUUCAAUCCUUAAGAUUAUUUUCCAUGCGCAAUAUUACUAUCCGUUCUCGUCACGGCCGAUUACUAUCCGUAGUUUUGACAAUGAAGCAAAGUGUUGUUGGGAAAGAAAAAAAAAAGAUAUGACUUAGACCACACUCUAUUGUCUUAAUCAGAGACUCAUCUUAGACCUGAUUGUAUACCAGUACACCAAAUGAUACAUGUUUUUUUUCUUCUUGUAAAUUUUUCUUUUAAAUUAUUUAUCCGAUUUAUAAUCCACUUACACAAUUGUGUUCAUUGCAAUUAAAUCUUUAUAACAAGAUCUUAGAUGACUAUAUUUUAAUAAAAGAAAUAUCUAUGUUGUAAAUUACUUUUAUUAUAUAUGUAAGUUACUUUUAUCAUAUAUAUAUAUAUUACUUUUCGAUUUGAUUAAAUUACUUAUUAUACAAUCAUAAUGUUGUGAGUUGUUUAUUUUAUUAUCUUUUUUAGUCAAUUCCAUAAUUUGUGCUGAUUAAAUUUAAUUUUUAGAUAGACUCACGUUUUUACCUCCAUAACAGAUCUAUUUUUAAUGUCAUGACAAAGUUACUUCUUUUUUAUCUUAAGUUACUUAUAUAAUAUAUGUGAAUUACUUUUAAGCUUUACUGGAAUUACUUUUAUAUGUCUAAGAAGUAAUUUAGUGAAAUCUAAAAAUAAUUUAGAUAUACUAUAAAAGUAAUUUGUAUUUUUUUCAUCAAAAUAUAUUUAUGUGAGAUCUUGUUGUAAAGAUUUAAUUCUUACGAACACAACUGUCUAAUCGGAUCAUAAAUCGGAUGAGUAGUUUAAGAGAAAAUUUCAUUUAAAACAUAGGUGAUAGGAUUAUAUUUUGGCAAAAUUUGUUACAGGACACUAAAAAAUUAUGUAAUUAGCUGUGGGACACCCGAAAAACGUGAAUUUGCCCGAUGACACUCUAAAAGUGUGGUAAUUUAUUGUAUGACACUAGGCGCAUUAAAAUAUAAUUUCCACUAAAUUGAUGAGAGAGAAACCACGUAAAAUGGCGGUUUUGCACCUUCUCUCCCCCUUCUCCUCUAUUUUUUUCCUCUUCCUCUCAUUGACUCUCCCUCUCUCUCUUUCUCUGCUUCUUUCUCACACAAAGGCAGCAUAGCAAGGCGAAGUGGCGCGUGAGUCGAAUGCUGGUUGGCGUUGCACGGUUUCCCGUGCUCAGCGUCCUCGUCAUCGUCAUCGCCCAUGCCACCGCCCAUGUCGUCGCAAGAGACGACAUCGAGGUCGUUGCUUCCGGACAAGCUCAUCUUGUUCUCCACCUCUGACACGUCCCUCGCCUUCGUGCGUCCUCCUCCUCCACCGCCGCCGUCCCGGGCUACCACCGCAUCCACUUGCCAUCAAGCGAGGAGACCCGCCACCGCCACGCCCUCCUCCUCCUCCCCGCUGCUCCCGCACCGCGCAGCAGACGGGUGAUGAGCCCGGCGACAGCGGCUUCGAUGGCGGUGGUGGUGAACAGAGGUGGCUGCGGCCUGGCAGCAGCGAUCAGCAACGGCGGCGUCGGCGAGCGUGGCUGCCGCGGCUUCGACGAUGGCAGAUGACGAGCGGCACUGAGAUGCGGGUGCAGGCAGUGGGGAUUAGAUAGGGCUAAGGGCAAUUUUGUCUUUUUAAAAUUUCUCUCCCAUCUUUUUUAUUAAAAAAUGAUAAAAUAUUGUCUCAGGUGUCCUACAGCAAAUUACAUGAAUUUUGUGGUGUCCAUCAGCAACGACAUGAUUUUACAGUGUCUCACAGCCAAUUACACAAUUUUUGUGUGUCCCAGGGCAAAUUUUGCCUUAUAUUUUCUACUUACUUGAUAGGGACUAGUACUACAGUUAAGGCAAUCUACAUAGGGUCUCUCGUUAGCACUAAAACGAGAGGCCUCUUGAUAUAGAUUUUGCCAAAAAAAAAACUUACUCUCAUUUUAAUUCUGCGUAUGUACUAGUAGAAAACAAAGCCGUACCACACCACAGCAAAGGAACACACUUUUUUUCUCUUCUUCUUUACAGUGCCCCUGGGAGGCCUAGCAGAGAUUUUUACCACGUGUCUCAACAAAUAGCCACAUUUUAAAAAGCAAAAUUGGGAAAAUAAAGAAAGUCGCGAGGGCUGUUGGGCUGGGAUGAUGGGCCUAUGGGCCGGGAAGCCCGUCCCAGAGUAGAAAAUAUCGCAGAUUCUUAUCACGAAAGAAAAUCACCACAUAUUAUAUUAUUAUUAUUAUUUUCGGGCAAGAAAAUCACCGAGAACUCCUCUCUCCGGUCGGUGUCCCCCUGCGCCGCGUGACCGUCAACUGACGUGGCCCAUCCCUCCUCUCUUCCCCCCACCUCGCCGCCGGCGAAUUCCUCGCCUCCGCCGCGACCGAGCCCCCGCCGCUCUUGGGGCUUCGCUCGCUUCUCCAGCGCAACCCUCCCCCCCCUCCCCCGCCGCCGCCCUCACACAGGGUUCUCUUGCGGGUUGGGGAUCUCAUCGCGGCGGCGGCGGCGGACUAAUAAGGGAUUCCGGCCGAUGGCGUGGCGGCGCGUCCUUUCGCAGGUGCGGUUUCCUUCCGGCCUUUCUCUCUCUCUCUCUCUCUCUCUCUCUCUCUCUUCUCUCUCUCUCUCUCUCUCUCUCUCUCUCGCUCGUGGGUUGUGGGUUGUGGUCGGGGAGGAGGGCUCGAUCUUGCGCGGUGGGCGCGGGGACGCAGGGGGCUGAGGGGUGGGGGUUGGUUUCGUUUCCUGUUAAGAUAAGAGUAGUAAUCUUGGGAGAUGUUCGUGUGGGUGCCCGUAUUGGAUGGAAGGGUCGAUGCUCCGCGCCGCGAUUGAGCUUCUGUUUCUUGACCUGGAUUAGCGUGAUCCUGUUCGUGCUGGAUGCUUUGUGGUUUUAGACUAAUCCGUUGAAAACAGCACGGCAACCUUGUUUUCAUGUCAUAUGGCUUGUCUUUUAUGUUUCGAUAUUUAUCGGAUUGGCAUGACAAUCUCUAUGAGAAUUUUGUUGGAGAUAGCUAAAAUUGAGUCCAGGACCCGCUUAGCUUGUAGGCAUGCGUUAAUUGGAGCUUGUAAUCAUCAAAAGGGGACUGCAAUUGAAUAAGGAUUGGUGCUACAAUGGUUUACUGAACGUAAGGUUAUGCUGUUUUUCUCAUCACAGGUCGCAAGGAACCGAUCCGCAUAUGCAAUCUGCAAUGAAAUAAUAUAUGCCAACCCAUCGAGGAUUCUUAGAGGUGACACCAUAGCAGGUAUGCAGUCUUUGUAUUAUAUAUGCCAACUCAAUCAUUUUAGUAAUGCAAUAGUGGGUUCUAAAAUUGCAAGUUUCAAAAUUUAUGAUAGAUAUGAGGUUCAGUCUUGGAUAUCUGGCAUAUAGUCCUCCCCAUAUUAAACAUAUACCUUCAUUGGUGUGUUCCUCCUUUUUCCUUUUCUGGAGAUGUCUUUAAAGCUGUAUUAUCAUAUUACUUUCUUAUGAGCAGUGCUAUUGUUUCCAUUUCCUCCUGUUGUGAUGAAUUUGUUUGCACUUUCAUAUUGAGUUAUGGUUUUUGGGGUGCUUAAUGCAGGUGGAACACUUAGAAACUUACAUGAGAGGUAUCAGUCAAGCUAUGUUGGUAGCUUUGCACGCAGGAUGCGACAGAUGGACUCACCAAGUGAAGCCUCUCUGCUGAAAGAAAUAUAUAGGAGUGAUCCAGAACGUGUCAUACAGAUAUUUGAAAGCCAACCUUCAUUGCAUUCCAAUCCUUCAGCACUUGCUGAGUAUGUAAAAGCUCUUGUCAGGGUUGAUAGGUUGGAGGAUAGCACCUUGCUGAAAACAUUGCAGAGAGGUACUAAUACCGACCAACACUUUAUCUGUUUCAGGACUAUUCUGCUGAUUUUUGUGUGGGUUAUGCUACUAGUGUUUAUUUUCCUUAUUUGAAGACUGGAGAAUGCUUCAUUAGCUUGCCAAACACUUCCAAUGUAGAUCUGUUGUCAUGUUAGUCUUACAUUUGGUGUCAUGAUUGUUCAGUUUGUCAUUAAGCCACACAAGGAAAUUACAAUAUAACAGCAGUAAACAAUUCUUCAUAUGCUAGCACAUAUAUGUUACCUUCAAAACUUCAUCUCCUACUGUAGUUCAGCUUACUGUAAUUUGUAAUUCUUCAAGCCUGUGGACUGUGGUUACCGUAGUUCAAGUCUUACAAGGAAAUUACUACACAUUUCAGCAGUUAACAAAAUCAUGGAUAAUCAUCUUAAUAUGGCAUAGAAAUUUUGCCAUGAAAAAAAAUCAUCCUCUAUUAGUCUAUUGUAGUUCCAAUUAUAUUUUUUGUAGUUCUUCAUGGCCUGUUGGUUAUCAUGAUGUUUGGUUAUUGAUUUUUACAACUGUGGGAUGGGUCAUAAUCUUGACCCACCUAUUCCUAUCUUACAAGGGUAGUCCUAUUUGAUUUUGUCUUCUCAAGAUAGGUUGAGAGAAACUAAUUUGUUGUAUAGUACUGUCCUUGUCUGUUGUUGACUAAACUACAACUUUGAAGCCUUCUUACAGUUCCUUCAAUUAAUAAUGGUGAUUCUUUGAUUAACUUGGUCUAAAAUUACAUCCUUGCUUCAUCCUUACAGGAAUUGCUGCUUCAGCAAGGGAGGAAGAAAACCUUGGUAGUGUUUCAGAAAAUCUUGGUAGUGUUUCAGCAUUUAGAAGUGCUGGUCAAGUGACAAAAGAUGGAAUUCUUGGCACUGCAAAUGCACCCAUUCACAUGGUUACAGCAGAAACAGGUCAAUUUAAGGAACAGCUUUGGCGUACCUUUCGAAGUAUAGCGCUAACAUUCCUCCUGAUUUCUGGCAUUGGAGCUCUUAUUGAGGAUAGAGGAAUAAGCAAAGGUUUGAAUUCUGAAAGAUCUGAAUGGCUAAUUCCUUGUUUACUGAACUUAUUCCUGUGUAGUUCUGAUUGAUAAAAUAUGUGUAGGCCUUGGUCUAAAUGAAGAGGUUCAACCAAGCAUGGAAUCUAAUACGAAAUUCAGUGAUGUAAAGGGUGUCGAUGAAGCCAAAGCUGAACUUGAGGAAAUAGUUCACUACCUCCGAGAUCCCAAGGUAAAUGCUUUUGAGCCCCUAGUCUUGAAAACUGGUAACAUUGUCUAGCUGUUUGGAUGCAGAGUUAUCUGAACAUGUUUCUUACAGGUUUGUUCCCCCCAUCUGAUAAUGGUUUUAUAUUGCAGUUUUUGUUAAUAGACAUUAAUAUUUAAGAGGUUCAAGCCCAGUUGUCCAAGUGCAAUGGAUUAAUUUUGACAUACUAACGAUGUAAAGUUUAAAACUGUUCUGCAAUAGAUUUAUCUCUGACUUUCUUCAUUGUACUGAAUCACGAGGUAUUGAUAAGCUAACUCAGUUUAUCUAUCAAUAUCCUGAUUGAUUCAAAACCUUUGUUUGAUUUCGUUGACAGUUUCCAGCUUGUUAGUUCUAUUACAUGCACGCUGUUACUUUAUUUGGUAAAUGCAUUAUAGAUAUACCUUUUCAAUUUCAUUGUUAAUUCUAGGUUGUUUAGCUCACUUAUUAUAAUUUAGAUAGGGGUAAAUUUCACAUUGGACCAUAUAUUUGACCAAGGUUUCACAAUGGACAAGGACUAAACCAGCAUUUUACCACAUAUCUUAGCAUUUUUGGUAGUUUGGACUUUGGACUAGGGUUGAGCACAUCAAGGGAAUAUGUGAGAAAAAAAGCUAAUCCAAACAAUCAUUUUAGUGUUUCAUAAUAGUAAGAUAAAUAUAUUUAGAGAAUUCCGUCAAAUGGUAUUUUAGCAAAUCGAAAAACAAGUUUUUUCAACAGAUCACAGGAAACAGUGAUGUGAACAUGUUCUAAAAAGGGCACAAAUUAAUCUACACAGACUCACAGAGGAGCAAAUGAAUAAAAACGAAAUAUAAAUAGAACUUAUUGAUUAGAUACCACUAAAAAGAAUGAACAAAACAUACAAUGUGUUACCUCCUAUUUUGGUAUUCAUCCAUGCUUAACCACAUAAAGUUCUCACAUAUUCUCUUGGUAUGCUUACCCCUAGUCCAAACCACAAACUAAUGAAAUAAUAUACAUGGUGUUAUGUGAAAACAUUGAUUAAUCCCUGGUACAUUAUGAAACUUUGGUCAAAAUAUGUGGCCAAUGUGAAAUUUACUAUUUAGAUAAUGUGUGGAAUUGAUGUCCGGUUAUGUCACAUAUAUCUGUUUAUGCAUCGUUAAGCCCAUAAAUGGUGUGAGGAUUUACCCCUCAUUUUCAUCACAUGCAUAUGUUAUACGGCAAAUGACAAGCUGCUUCCUUGUUUUCAGCGUUUUACACGUCUUGGUGGAAAACUGCCAAAAGGUGUCUUGCUGGUUGGUCCUCCUGGCACUGGAAAGACCAUGUUAGCAAGGGCUAUUGCUGGGGAAGCUGGUGUUCCUUUCUUCUCAUGCAGUGGUAGUGAAUUUGAGGAGAUGUUUGUAGGCGUAGGAGCUAGAAGAGUCAGGGACCUUUUUGCUGCAGCUAAAAAACGUUCUCCCUGUAUCAUAUUCAUGGAUGAAAUUGAUGCGAUCGGUGGGAGUAGAAAUCCAAAGGAUCAACAGUAUAUGAAGAUGACGUUGAACCAGUUGCUUGUCGAGCUGGAUGGCUUUAAGCAGAAUGAGGGGAUAAUUGUUAUUGCUGCAACCAACUUUCCUGAGUCCCUAGAUAAAGCACUAGUGAGACCUGGGCGCUUUGACCGGCAUAUUGUUGUUCCAAAUCCAGAUGUUGAAGGCCGGCGGCAAAUCCUAGAGUCCCAUAUGUCAAAGGU
rnacentral:lncRNA from 1 species